AAUGACCUCAAGAACUACUCAGGUUUUCACACAAUGGACAAAAGAAAACAGCCAAAACUGAUACUUAAACAGAUUUUUAACACGGGAAAAUAUCACUGAAAAAUUAAGUAAAAUUACUUAAAAUCAUCAAAUUGCAUCUAGUAUUUAAAUAAAAUAACAGGAGGUACAGUUGCAUAGAAGAAAUUUGAGUUGCUUCACAAGUUCGAAUUUGAAUAAUAAACAACAAUUAUGUGAACUUAAACAAAUGCAUGGCCAUGAUGCUUAAUUAUGCACAAAUGAUGCUCAUGUUAACAUGUUAAACUUGGUUUGCAACUUUGGGUCAUCACACUAGCAAUCAUCACACAUAGAUCUUUUGACAUAAGGAUUAUUUCUUUAUUUACAUGGGCCACAUUUCAGUAAAUAUAAUUUAACAUUCUCCCACUUGGGCCAUGAGAGAACAUUGAAAAUUCGAUAAGCAAUCAGGUGUACACUUUUCAUCGAAUUUAUCAAGUUGACCUUAACUUGAAAUUGAUCGAUAGAAUCAUGGCGAUCAUAAGUCAGUGACAAAAUUCAUUCCAUGUAUUACAAAUAAAAAAAAAUAAAAAAACAUUAUGUGGAAAAAAUUUGUUAUCACACCACAACAGUAAUUGUAUAAAUAUUUAUGUGGAUAACAUGCAAAACAAAAAUAGACUUUUAUUAAAUUCACAAAAACAUUAUGAGCAACACAUAUUCAUGUGUAUACACAUCACACUAGCAAGGUUUUAUCCAUAAUGCCCAUACUUUCUCCAUGGCCCAUGAAAGUCUUAGGCAGCAAUGCCUUUGUUAGCAAAUUGUUGACGCUCAUUAUUUACACAUACCUCUAUUUAUCUUCAAUAUUGGCAUACAAAUGAUAUCAUAAUUAUUGAUCAUACUCAAUAAUCAGGUCAUUUUCACAUAUGCAUUGUAUUUUAGAGGACAUUCUGUUUUCUCAGGAAAUUGGACUUAAUUGGAGCAUAAUUGGAUGAGGCUCAAGACAAGCAAUGAACCAGAUGAACAUGAAGACCAACGGGCUUAGAAAGAGCCAGGGCCGAUCAGCCUAUAGAGGCCCAAGUCGAUUGGCCCAGGGUCCUCUGGUGCCCAUUAGUUCUCAUGUUCGGCGAGAACUCCUCCAAGAAGACAUAGGGGCUAAGUUUCAAAAGAUAUGGCAAGUUCACUUUAGGAUAAAAGAUGGAAGCAAGCAAAACUUUAGAAUGAUAUCAAGAUCCAUACUUAUCCCGAGGCUAUCGACGUGCCAAGCUUGCAUGAAAGUAAAAAUAAAUUUCCUAAACAUCAGAGAAGACUUGGCAACAAAGCUGGACGCGAGGGGGUAAAAGGAAGGGUGAGGCCAAUCGGCCUGGACCCCCCUAGGCUGAUUGGCCCAGCCGUUUCCUUCGUCCGUUUGCCUUCCAAUUUAAACCAUGGGUCCUCCAGACUAUAAGUACCCUGAUUUUCUAUCGAGCACACAAAUGGGAUUGAAGAUUCAAAGCAGAAGGAGCCAAGAAACUUGAGGGAUAACCAUCUACAGAGAGCUGAGGGCCGUGCAGUUGUCCGGAGGCUAGCUUAGGCUAGGCUCUGGCUGGCGUGAUUACCAUGCGAGGAAGAUCCAUGCACGGAGUUUUGGAGCUAGAAUUCACAAGUUGUGGGCAUGACCUCAGUGGAGAUCUUGUGAUGAACAAUCAUUCAUGGUGAAGUAAUAGAUUGGUUCUGAUUCAAUAACGAUCUAUAUGUUUCCUUUUAUGACUUCUCUUGUUAUGAGUUUGCUUAUUCCAAUCUAUUUAUGUAGUAGAUUGCAUAGGGCAUUCUUGUAGUCAUGGUGACUAGAAUUGCAUGCCUCAUCUAUCAUAACAGCUAAACAUGCGGUUUAUGUUCAUGUCGUUAGACUGCUUUCACUGAUAGGCAGGAUCGUGAUAGGAUCGAUGCUGUGUAAGGUGGGGGUUUUCGGGAGUCAGAACGGAUGUAGUGAUUUAAAGAUACUUUGAAUGAGAACCAUGUGUUUGCUUUCCAUCUAGCUAGAACUACAACAUAUGCAUAGUCUAGGCUGUGCUCUAGAUGAGUUACCUAUUGUUCAUAUCUGCUCAUGCUUCUUAUCUAUCCGUGUUUAUUCAUGCCUAUUCACAAUCACUUUGCAACUCGAAUCAUGUUUCCUAAUGCUUAGUUAGUCUAGAUUGUGUGACCUUGUUUCCAUGGAUUGAUAAACCUUCAGGGAAUACUCUUAGGGAAAAGUUACAACUGAUCUGUGCGCUUGCGGUUCACAAAUUGGCAUGCUAUCUGCCAUCAACAAGCUUUUCUGGUGCCGUUGCUGAGGAAACAACUGAUCAAGUUUUAGAUUAACUUUUGCAUGUGUAAAUAUUUUUCUUGUUCAUAAUUUUCAUAUGAAUAUUUUUGUUGUAUAUUCUUGACCUUGUAUAGUUCUCGUAUAUGUUUUUCUAACCCUAAUAUUAGAUAGACUUGUUCCUCUCGAAAAAACAAAUAUUUUCUUUUCUCUUUGUGCAUGAGAAAAAAAUAAAAAUUGCAGGCAAAAUCAAACGAGCAGCUGCAGCAGGGACAUCAACAGUAAGCGAGCAGCUGGAGUAGGAAAAUCAACAGCCAAGGAUGAAGAACCACCACACAUACUCCAUCAAAGAAUUCAGCUGAACCUCAACAACAAGAAGCAAUAGGAGAACAGCCCGAACGCAAGCCUAGCGAGCUCUGGACACCGAGCAUCGAAGAUCUACCAAUCCUGAACAUAGCUAAAGUUGAAGGCCCGGUCGAGAUCAACACUUCAAUCAAUGAGAUGGUGAAGCACAACACGUUUGCUAGUAAGGAGGAUGCCAUUUGUAGUCCUUCCUACAGAUAUGCAACACCUUCAAAUUGGAUGGUAUCGACGACAAUUAGCUACGUGCAAGACUUUUCCCAUACUCACUACUGGAACAAGGCACUUCGAUGAUUUUACACUUUGCAAGCAUAAAUUGUUGAGAAAUUGGGAGAGCCUGGUGCAAGGAUUUUUUGAGAAUUGAAGAUGAUAAACUAGGUAUGCCGCUGUGUCGGAGUUUAGAUCCGGCAACCUACCGAGUGGGGUGCCUUGACGUAGUGUUUUGUAGUGGGGCUCAUCGAGAUCAGGAACUUGAAGGUAAAUGCAAACACAUGAUUUAGAUAGGUUCGGACCGCUGAAUAGCAUAAUACCCUACGUCCUGUGUGUUAGCUGGAUUGAAUUGCUUUGGAGGGGGGCCUGCCUCACCUUAUAUUGCCGGGGGCAGGGUUACAGGUCGGUUGGUUACAAGAAAACUAGUCAGAUUCGACUAGACAAGUUUUACUCGUAGUGUUAUGAGUACUUUUCCUAAUCCUCGACUAGUUCCUGUCUUGCCACGUAUACUACAUCAUCUUACGUCAUAGUGUCCGUGUCAGAUAUGUCUCGGUGUCUAGCCCCAUAUUAAGGAUUGUCCAAAGCUUCUGGUAGGCCCAUAGAUGUAUGUACGGCAAGCUCCCGAAUACUUUUUAGUGAAAUGCAGUAGUUCCAUGUACUUUUUGUAGACUUCACCGACUAGUUUUGGUGCUCUUCUAGUACUUCAUUAGUUUGAGUCUUCAAAGGGACCCAAAAACUGCCAUGCGGCUAGAAUGUGUUCAUGCCUCAUUUAACUUAGUCUUGUAUCCUUCAACCUCGAUUUUAUAUGGAAGUGUGACGAAAGUCGCACUCCAUAUGGAGUAGCCCCUAAGCCUUAGGUUGAAUCAAAGAAUCAAAUUGAGGGUCAAUCUACAAUUUGCAUCACUUUCCCCUUAAAAACCUAAAGAAAAACUUUUUGUCGCUGAGCACGUGGCACACAGUCCCCAAGCCUUUAUCCGACUAGUUUGGUGGGUAUAAGGGUCAACCUCUAGUCAACGUUACCAUUUCUGAAUGGAAAUCUUAUCUCUUCCGAAAAUAGAGGUAACUUCCAAUCAGGUGUCGCGAAAUCUGCGGAUCCAUUAAACCUGAAUAUUCCUUUAUUUACACUACCAUUACUACAUCACGGUUAUAAAUAACGGAGAAAAUUAUCCCUUCCAUUUUACCUUUUCCAUCUGUCUUUCCAACUCCCACGCUUUAGCCCCAGCACCGCCGCCGCCCGAUCUCUGAGCUCGCUAGUGCCACCGCCUCCCACCACUCAAUCCCUGAGUGUAUGCAACAGAAGAAACUCGUGGCAUCAAGGAUGGGGAGGAAAGCUGCUGCAUCCAAGGAGGUCGAGGGUGAGAAGAAGAAGAAGCUUGACAAGAAGAAGGAAUCAUAGUUGCCAGCACCCAAAUAUGGAAAAAUGGAUCAGACUGCGCCACCAAGUCCCGCUUGCACCUGGAAGCGAUCAUCUUUGAAAGAGGAAGAGAUCAAGGCACUUGUGGCCACCAAUAUGCUCCAAGAUCAAGACUUUAUCAAUUGGAGAUCUGUCUACGAUAACCCAUGGCCAUUGGAGGAAUACCCUGAUGAAACAGUAAUCUUCGCUCACUUUAUUGAGUGCUGCAUUGCCAGUGUCUGAUUUUUUCUGAGGUCUGCUGGAGUAUCCUAAGUUGGAUCUAGUUCACCUGAACCCCAACAAGAUUCUGCACACUGCUAUUUCUGUGCACCUCUAUGAAGCUUUCUUGGGGAUCAGGCCCCACUUCCAACUAUUCAGGAAAUUUUUCCGUGUAAAGCUGCAAUCAAAGAGGGAGCACAUCCAAGUAGUCGGAGGUGCCGGUAUCCAGAUGUGGGAGAAGCUCAGCAGCCUAUACCUGAAUUAUGAGUUGAUAGAUUCAAAUGUCAGGUGGAAGGAAAAGUUGUGGUACAUUGGCAACAACGAUCCCAAACUACCCAAGCUGAUAGGGCAUCACCCCAACUGGAACAACCAGUGGCUGGAUGAGCCAACUCAUAGGGAUUGCAUCCAACUGCCUGACCUCCUGAAUAGAAUAUCCAAACUGAAGCAAGAAGGGCUCACUGGAGUAGGGGUAGCCUUCAACUUUAUGAAGUGGUGAAUCCAGCCCUUACAACAGUGAUGCCACUGGGCUACGAGUACUCUGGCGUCAAUGAUCCAUCUAGACUGUCUCCUAAGGAGCUCACCACAAAGGAAAUUUUAGUGAGGUUGAAGUGGAUGUCCAAGAAUGUGGGCGAUAUCCUCACCAUUGUGCGAGAAUUCAGCGCUGCCAACCCACCAAAGCCUGUAAGUGUCUAUGGCUGUAGCCCCCAAGUACUUAUUUUGUAGUUUUUGGGUGUACUAACUUGCCUUUCUUUGCACGAAGAUGUCAGCUUGUACUUUUUUGCUCCUCCUCCUCCCGGAUCGGAAGAUAUUUGUGAAGCUGCUCCUUGCGUGCACACGGUGGAGAGCACUGAGACUGAUGACGACGAAGAGGAAGUACUUGAAGCCUCUAGCAGCUCUAGUUCUGAUGCUGCGAAGGACUUCGAAGUCAAAGCCCAGCCAUCUGAUAAGGCUGGGUCGUCCAUUGGAUCGAGGAAGCACAUAGCUAAUGAAGAUCUUGAAGCUGCAAUUCCUUCACCACCAAAGAAGAAGCAGUCCAUUGCUGCGAAGCGGGCUGUAAACAAGUUUGUCACUGCAGAAGAUGUGCCUCCCGCGGUAAUUACCUAUGACGAAGGACAAAAUCCUAAGGAUCGAGUACUCCUAGUAGGCGAUUUCAAUAUAACCACCGUGUCUACUCAAGAUGACUUUGGUGGCUUGCAGGUACUCGAGCCGAUGAUGAAUGCUAAGAAAGCAGCUGCUCUGGUCGUGCAAGAUAGGUUACUGAUCAUCGAGGAGGUGAUCGAAAUUGAAGAUGAUCCAGAACCUCAUGUCGCUGAGGUUGACCCUGCCAGUGUGAGAACUACUCGAAGAACAGAGGCAGUGGCUAAGGUUGGCAAUGAUCAUGCUGCGACCAUUCAAGCCGUGCCAAAGAAACUGACUCCGACCACCAAGCCGAUGUGCCUGACAGGAGAACCCUCUUUGAAGUUGAGGAUAUCCACAAGGUAUGUCUUGCUGCUCCUUUGAGUACUAAUUGUAGCCCAUGAUCGACUUCAUUGUGUCUUUGAAGCUUUGCCUUAUGCAAAAAAUCCUCUGAUGUGGACCUCCGAGGGCCUAACGAGAGGUCCAUGACUAAUGGCGGUAGCCACUCAGUCCAGGAUGCUUCCCCAGUCCAAGCUAGUCUGCAACCACAGGAACACCCUGCAACAACAAGUAAUCCAGGUGUUGUUCUCUUGUAGCAGCGUUGAUGCAAGAUGUUAUAUCAUCUUUGAUUGAUGUUGUAGUACAAGCCCCCAAGCAACAAGUAUCUAAAGAUGUGGUGGUGACUACCUCUAGCACCGUGGCUACGCUCAUAGCCCCCGAGCCAGAGGUGAAAAUUGAAGCGGCAACAGUGUUGGAAGUCAUGGCUGCCAACAUGUCUUCCGAGCCAGGUCCGUCGACAAGCCUUGCUAUGGUUCCUCUUAGUAUAACUGAUUCUGAAACUCAUGCGGAUCCACUGGCGGCUGGAGAAAUUAGUCUUGAAGAUAUCUAGUUGAUCGACGACCCUUUGCUGAACACGGACAUGGUAGCUGGAAUGAUGGAGAUGCACCGUCGUAUUGGUGCUUAUGUAGAGGUAUGCUUGAUCCAGUUUCUUCCAUAACUUGUAAUUAGCACCCAUGCCUUGAUACAAGUACUUAUUCUGUGGUGCAGGAUGUCAUCAAAUGCUCCUGUUGAAAGUCUCAGAUGCUUCAAGGCUAUAGGGACUCAGUACUCCAUGCUGAGACCCUUGAAAAGGAACUUGCUAAAGAGAGGGAGUACUCCUCCCGAUUGCUGAUGAAGUACAAUGUGGCUGUUGCUGAGCAUCGGAACCAUAUCUAGCAACUUGAGGAGGAAAAUGUAAUAUUCCAAAAAUUUGUAAUAUUUGUAUGAGUGAAAUUUGCAAAGAUUUAAAACUUUGUUUGAAUUGUGUGCUCAUUUAAAAGUGCUAGUUAAUUUCUCUCUCAUCCCUAAAUUCCAUUUAAAAAUUUGUGUGGAUUGAGUUGGAUCUUUUUGGAUUUUAUUUGGAGUUCAUGUUUGAGUUUUGUUUGAAUUUGGAAUUCAAUUAAAAAUUCAAACUAAAUCUGAAUCUAAAUCUAAAACUAAAUAAAAACCCAAAACAAACCUAACCUCCUAACCAGGCUAGCCCAUUAACCCCAGCUCGCCCAUGCGCGCCUUCACCCUUGCGUGGCCUAGCUCGCCAGCUUGCUCGCGCUUCGCUUCGGCCCAGCCGGCCGCUCGGGCAGUGCUGGCCUAGCUCGCACGUGCUCGCGCCCGCCCGUGCAUGCUCGCGCCUUGCCCGACCGAGCAGGCCAUUGCCGCCCCUGCGUAAUGCUCGCUCACUCACACCCACUCCCUUCUCUCUCUACCGCUCGGGCCUGCAUGCCAGCCGUUGUCCUAUUCCCCUUUCUUCCCCAACCGCGGCAUGCCCAUGGCGCGUGUGCACCCGCCGCUCCCGUGAGCACACACUACCGUGCCCGUGAGCUUUCGGAGGCUUCUGCCGUGGGGGAAAGGACUGCGUUGCCCUUGCGUCGUACCCCGGAACCCUAGUACGGCGUUGUCCAAUAGGCACCACAUUGCCCCCUAGCUCGCUUGUUGAGGAUCAAUGGUGCUCGCCAAUAGCACCCCGCUGCGCAAACCCUAGCCGGGCUUGGGCUAUAAAUAGAGACCCCGGGCACCUCCUUGCCAUCCCAAACCUCCAGGGCUCUCCCCACCGCUGCUGCAACUGAGAAGAGGAAAGAGCCGAGGGGAAGAGGAAGGAGCGGGGGAGGAAGAAGGAGGAGGAGAAGAGGAGGGGCAGGAGAAGAAGAAGAAGGUGGAGGAGAGGAAGAGAAGGAAGGAGGAGGAGGAGACCGCCAGGUGCUGAAGCCACCGUCAUCCGAGCACCGCUGCCCAUGAAGCCGGAGCCGCUGGAGCCACCACCACCCAUCCGGCGCCAUCUUCGUCGACCCUCGCCACGAGAGCCACCCCAUUUCCACUCCCUUGCCUCUCUAGCUUCCGUAGCCUUAGCUGUAGUAGUAGCUGCCGCUCGCCGCCGUUGUGGCCGUGUCGUGGCUAGGGGAUGCCCCGAGCCUGCGCGCAAGUGCUAACCGCGCCCGUCUGCGUACGCCCUCGCGCACGUCGUGCCACGCCGCUUGCACUCACGCGCUCUCGCCCGCACCGCCGCACCCUAGCCGCAUACCACGCACCAUCGGCCGUGCCGUUGGUAGCCCACGUGGCACUGAUGUGGUAAGCUGGGCCCAGCUGUGGGGCCUGCUAACAUCUGACCCCGUGGGGCGCACUCUCGAGUGGGGCCCACAUUGACCGUUCAUGUUGACCGUUGACCGGUCAAUGCUAACGUCAGCAUGAUGUCAGAAAGACAUGUGGCACUCCUUCGGGGUACCACGUGGACCAAUCACUCGUUGACACAUGUCACCUUUUAAUAAAUAUUUUAUGAAAUUGUUUAAUAAUUAAAUAAAUCCUUUAAUCUUUAAAAAAUCGUAACUAAUUCAUUUUAACUUUGAAAAAUAUGAAACCAGUUGCAUUAAAUUUGUAAAAUCGAGUCCGUGCUAUUUGUAGCUAGUUUAGUAUUAUUUGGAUCUUCUAAAUUUGGCUUUCUUGGAGUUUUUACCUAGAUGUAAUGCCAUUUAAUUUAUGUUCUGUCGUAUCUCAUUCUGUUCAGACCUGAGCUAGAACUAGGAUGACCUUCAAGACCCUGGCUAUGCCGGACCCAAUCAACUACGGACAAGGUGUCAUGUCACUCCCAAUAAUAUAGAUCCUAUGCAUGCUUAGUUGCUAGCGCUUUACGUACUUAUAUUGCUUGAUGAUGAUGGAUUUCAUAGCCAAUGUUUUUAGCCAUGCCUUGAUAAUUGUUUAUCCUAUUUUCCUUAUUUACCUACUUUUGUGGACUAUCUAUAGACCCCUAGCUAGUACACCACUCAUAUAUCCAUAUACAAGGUUUUGAAUUAUGGAUGGGCAUUUGCCAUGGAUUUGGUGUUGGGAUUCCUUGAACACUCUCGCGUAUAUUUUGGGUGAGUGUGACUCCUUGAUGUGUUCUUGGUGGGAGCGUGCCAUGGUUGGUGCUAAGGAGUGCCUUGCCGGGAGAGAGCUUUCUGGACUCUUUCACCUCUACCUAUGGUGGGCACCUUGUUUGUUACUAAGGAGCAGGUGGCAUACUUGUAUGUUGUAGGUGCUUCGGCACAUACUUGUUGGUAGAGUGCUCGCUCUCAGCCACUUAAGGACUGAGUCAGUUUACCGCCAGUCACAGCAGCUACUUUUUGUACUUACCGCUUGCUUACGUUAUGGGCGGGGUUCAAUCCGAGACUAGUAGUGGAUAGUGCUUUGCCUGGAGGCGGAUUGGAGGAUCAUGUAAGGAGUUCGAGGCGUUGGCCUGCUCUGACCAGACUACACCCCGGCGUGGGUAGAUUUCAUAGAUUUGAGGUCCUCAUUGGUGAUGGUGUGCCCUGUAGUUGGGGACAGUUCUAGACUCGAAGAAAUAGGAGAGAGCUAUCCACUUGCUAGGGCUUCGGCUGUUAGGUGGGGUUCGGACAGAUCGCUACCGUUCAAGCUCCAUCCAUGCGGGUACAGUUGUACAUCCUUUGCAGAGUGUAUAAAACUAUAGCUAUAGUCUAUGUCCACUGAUUAUGGACAGUGUUGUUGACUACCACUACUUCUGACUAGACUUUUCUUAUGCUUCUAGCUUCCCUCUUUUGAGAUAGGCCAGCAUUUGUUGUUGAGAUAUGAGGGUAGGGAGCUCUCAUAUCACCUGGUGUGUUUGGGUGCUGGACCCUUGGGUGAUGGAUCUGGUGAUUUGUGCUGACUUCCUUGUUUGAGAUGUUGACCUCGGGGAUGAUGUUGCUUUGCUGCUUCCUUGAUUGCUGCUGCUGUUGCAUAAACCCCUACGACUUCGAUAGUGACGGCUGGGAAGACUAGGGACAAUUCUUUGCUCAAGUCGCCUCUUGAGAUGGAGUUCGCCAUAGCUUAUGUUUCCGCUACGUAGUUGUUUUACCUUUCUAGAUUUAGUCUUGAUGGACUUGUACCGGCAUGUGCCGCUGAGAUGUACUCGUACUGAUGUUAACUAUGAUGUUUGUACUCAUUUCCUCUUUCUUUUUCUCUAUUGGUAUGGAUCUGUACUCUCUAAGAUACGGAUUCGCACGUGAUAGCCUUCCUGGGACUAUCACCGAGGUGCGUAGGCUUGAAUUCUCAAAAAUGGGAAUUUGGGUCCGUUUCAGAAAAAGACCAUCUCAAGGGGCGCAACAAGUCAAUGAACCAGCAAAUCAAAGGUAAUUGCUCUCCUUGUUGGACUUCGAGUACUAAUUUUGUUUGUAUACUAAUCCUCUUUGUGUAUUAUUCAUGCAGUGCUUGAAAAGUUGAAAGAAGAUCUCCAGGGACAAGUCACCGAUUGGAAGAACGUGGAUUACUACAUGACUGAUUAGCAUGAUAAGCUAGUAUAGAGAUGAAAGAACCUGGAGCAUCACGUGGAAAAAGAGAGGAAAAUGCGCGAACAUGGUGAAGUCAACUUGGUCAAUGCCAUGAAGACCAUCCAGGAGCGAAGCUAAGUUGGAAGCUGCAAAACUUGCUCUAAAGGAGAUAUCUGAAGUAGCCUAGACAAUAGCGGAUAUGGUGGAGCCUCCAGUUGAGGGUGUAGAGCCCCGUCCGCUGUCUGAAGUACUCAAGGACGUGCGAGCAAAAUUCUCUAGCUACAUUCAGAAGAUGGCGAAGUAUGUCUCCAAGAAACUACUGAGCUUCAUCAAGUUCUUCUAUCCUCAAGCUAAUCUGACUCCUGUUGCGGAGGGUAUAGCAGAGGACUGUUCGGACAAGCUUUUUUUGCAGUACUUGCAAGAGAUCCUAGUCCUUGAGUAGUUCUGUAUCAAAACAUAUAUUAGUUCUUGUGUUGUAAACAUAAUAUAAAUGCUUUGAAAUAUAAAUAAUUCUAAGUCUUGUUGCAAUCUCUGCUGCUUUCAACUUGUUGUUUUAGUGCAUCUUACGAUCUUCCCUGAUAUUUGCUCAUAUGGUAGAUGUAAGUGUCUGUGCACAAGGCUUCUUUGAUGAGCCUCUUCAGAUACACGAUGUAGAGUAUUUAGGAUGCGACUCCUUUUUGUGGAGUACGAGUAUCAAUGAGUUAACUAACUCAUGAAUUUUACUAUAGACUUGCUUUGCAAGCCACGAUUGGACAAUUUUGUCCAGUGAGUUGAAGAACUCAUUAAAAUUUUGCAGACUUGUUAUUAUAAGCCGCAUAUGCCUAGGGAGCUGAAUAGCUUGCUCUAGUUAUGCAGACUUGUUUAUUACAAGCUUCGAUUUGGGUGAUUCUGCUUAGAGAGCUGAAUAGCUCUAUGAACUUGCUUCUGCAAGCCGUAAUUAGGCAGAAAUAAGUAGUUGAAUUAUGACAAAAAAUAUAACUACUUUAUUGAAUUGUGAUUCUACAACUAGGACUAAUUGCGAUGUACAUGAAUAUGUAAAUUAAAAUUUAGGGGUAAAAUCAACAGAGUUGCUCGAUGUUCCACAAGUUGUCGACAUCUUCACCGGAGAGAUGUUGGAGUCUAUACGACCCAAGUCGAGUGAACUUAGAGAUGAUGAGCGGUCCCUCCCAUGGUGAGUUUAGCUUGUGCAGCACCUUGGUGUCUUGGAUACGCUUGAGGACCAUAUUGUCUAUAUUGAUUGAACGUUCUUUAACAUUGCGAUCAUGAUAGCAGCGAAUUCGUUCAAGGUACCUUCCAAACUGGACGAGUGCUAUAUAGGGAGCUUCUUCGAGGCUGUCUAAGUCUAGGCGCCUUGUUUCUUCUAUUGCGCCCUCCUUGUACUGCUCGACUGUUGGAGAUUUCCACAUGACGUUGAUGGGAAGGACAACUUCGGAUCUGUAGACCAGAAAGUAGGGUGAUUGUCUUGUUGGUUUGCAUGGCUGGGUACGGAGCCCCUAGAGGAUAUUGGAUAGUUCUUUGAGCCACUUGCCUCCUUUCAUGUUUCUGAUAUCGUGCAACCUUUUCUUGAGACCUUCCAGUACCAUCCCAUUAGCAUGCUCAACCUGGCCAUUGGUCCACGGAUGAGUGAUAGACAUAUCAGACGUCGAUCCCACUGUUCUCGCAGUAGUCCCAGAACUCAUGAUUGUUGAAGUUGGAGCUCGGAUCUAUGAUAAUGUGAUUGGGGAAGCCGUAGCAGUGGACAAUUUCAUCAAGGAAGUUGAGUACUCUGUCUACCUUGGGGCAGGUUACUGGCUUCACGUCGAUACACUUGGUAAACUUGUCAAUUGCCGCCAGUACUCGAUUGAAUCCUCCAGGCACCAUGGGGAAUAGGACAAUCAUGUUGAGCCCCCAUCAUGCUGUUAUUUGGUGAUCAACUUGUAGGCAGGGACGUGCUGUUAUUUGGUGAAGAAUUGGCAUCUCUAGCAUCGGUAGACUAGUUUCUCUACGUCAGCAAGACUUGUAGCCCAAUAGAACCUAGCUCUGAAAGCUUUGCCCACGAUCGUUCAUGAGGAUGCGUGGUUGCUGCAAAUGCCUUUGUGGAUUUCCUCCAGUAUGUCCUUGCCGUCUUGCCGUGAGACACACUUCAUGAGUACUACUGAUGAUGCACCUCUUCUGUAAACCUUGUCUCCGACUAAAACAUAAUUCUUGCUGUGUCGUAAGACUUACUCUGCUUCUGUUUUGUCUGAAGGUAACUUGUGCUCUUUGAUGUAGUCCAUGAAGGGGACUCUCCAGUCUACAUCGAUCAUCAUGCCCUCUCGAUCUAUGGCAGUAAGACCUCGAUCAGUGGUUGUUGAUGAUGCCGGCUCCAUUAUGGAUGGCUUGUGUAGCUCAUGGACGAAAACCCCUACUAUAACUUGAGCAUGAGUAUAGCUUGGAUAGGAAAUCUGCGGCAACGUUGUUGUCACAAACUAAAUGCUGGAACUUCAGAAUAGACAAUUUGUUCUCAAGCUUGCGUACUUCUAGGAAAUACACAUUCAUGUUCUCAUUGUGGCGAUCCCACUCAUUGUUGACUUGAUUGAUUACCACCAGUGAGUAGCCGUAGACUAGUAAUCGCUUGAUUCCUAGCGAGACUACCAGGCGGAGCACGUGCAGAAGCGCUUUGUAUUUAGUUUCAUUAUUGGAUACUUCCCAGAAGAUUUGCAUGAUGUAUUUGAGUUGUUAGCCUUUGGAAGAUAUCAAGAGUAGUCCUGUGCUAUCACCUUCAAGCUCGAGUGUUCAUCGAAAUACAUGACCUAAUGCUCUGGGACGCUCUGUAGGCAUUGGUAGUUGAUUUUCUUGCCACUCUAUCAUCAAAUUGAGUAGGGCUUGGGACUUGAUUCCAGUCCUUGACUUGAAUUCUCGGGACAAUGCUCUGAGUUCUACCGCCCACUUAGAUAUUCUCCUAAUUGUGGAGAAUUUCUCCCAGAGGGAAGUCUGUAACAGCGGAGAUGUUGUGCUCCUGGAAGUAGUGUCAUAGCUUUCGUGAGGUCAGCAGUAUUGCAUAUAGCAAUUUCUGGACCAGCGUGUAUCUGGCCUUGGAGUCUGACAACACCUCGCUGAUGAAGUAAACGGGCCUCUGUACUUUGUAUACAUGGCCUGGUUCUGAUCUUUCAACCACGAUCGUGGUGCUGAUGACGUUAGUAGUCGCGGUGAUGUAAAGCAACAAGUCUUCAUUAGGGUUUGGCACUGUGAGAACUGGUGGCUUUGAUGGGAAGUCCUAUAAUUGUUGUAGGGCUUGAUCUGCCUCCUUGAUCCACUGAAACUUGUCUCGCCGCUUGAGUAGUUUGAAGAAGGGUAGGCCCCGCUUGAUCUGCCUCCUCAGCUUCUGUAUGUCCUUGAUACCUAACAGGGCAUGCAUAUUGGUGAUGGCGGAGAUCUUCUCGGGGUUGGCUUCAAUUCCUCGGUGACUAAUGAUGAUCCUAGAUAGUUUCCCAGAGGUUACGCCGAAGACGCACUUUAUCGGGUUGAGCUUCCACCAGAAUUUUCGCAAACUUGCAAAAGUUUCUUCUAAAUCCACAAUCAGGUCAUCAAGAUUUCUGGUCUUUAUGACCACGUCGUCCAUGUAUGUCUCCACGUUGAGGUGUAACUACUUCUUGAAGCACUCCUGUAUUGCCCGUUGAGAAGUAGCGCCUGCGUUAUUCAACCUGAAAGAAAUUGUUGUGUAGCAGAAAGCUCCAUAUGGGGUGAUGAAUGCAGUCUUGAUCUGGUCUUCUUCCUUGAGUGGUAUCUGGUGAUACCCCAAGUAGCAAUCGAGGAAAUAGAGUAAGGCGCAUCCAGCUAUGGAGUCGAUGACUGGAUCAAUCCUAGGGAGCCUGAAGGGAUCCUUUGAACAGUGUUUGUUGAGGUCUGUGUAGUUGACACACAUCCUCCACUCAUUGUUAUUUUUUUCGCACCAGGAUAGGAUUAGCGAGCCAUUCUAGAUGGUAGACUUAUUUUGUGAAGCCCACCACGAGUAGCUUGGCCAGCUCUUUCUUGAUGGCUUCCCUUCUAUCUUGAGCGAAUUGUCGUAUCCGUUGUCUUUUAGGUGUAGCUUUUGGAUUCACCUUGAGUGAGUUCUCGAUCACUCCCUGGGCACCCCCGGCAUGUCCACUGGUUUCCAUAUGAAGAUGUCUCGGUUGGCCUAGAGGAAGCUGGCGAGCGCACUUUCCUAUUUAGGAUCCAGCCCUAUGCCAUUAGGGCUAUCUUGGAGCUAUCACCAGUCUCAAGGUCAAUGGCUUUGACGUCUACUUCACUUGCCGCAUUGACCUUGGUUGUCCCCGACUUCUUUUUUGGGAUCUCGAGUUCUAACGAGGACCGUUUCUUGGAUGCGACGAAGACUUGCAUCAUCGAGUUUGGUACUCAGGUAGUUGCUUCUAGCUCCAUGGGUUCUGUGUCACAGUCGUACGACCUCUUCAAGUCUUCGCGUAGGGAGAGUACUCCCUUGGUUCCCGGCAUCUUGAGUACUAAGUACACGUAGUGCGGGAUGGCCAUGAAUUUGGCCAAUGCUGGUCUUCCAAGGAUGGCAUGGUACGAUGUUUCGAAUUCCGCUAUCUUGAACUUGAUGUAUUCGGUCCAGUAGUGUUCUUUGGUUCCAAAGGUAACUGGUGAAACCACCUAUCCAAGGGGUACAACAGCGUUGCCCGGAACGAUCCCAUAGAAUGAAGAGUUCAUUAGGGUGAGCAUAUCGGUCAUGUCGAGGCCCAUCUUCUUCAAUGUUUUGGUGAACAAUAUGUUGAGACCGCUGCCGCUGUCGAUUAGUACUUUAGUGAGUCUGGAGCCGGUGACAACCGGGUCCAGAACGAGGGGAUACCGUCCUAGGUCUAAGAAACUAGUCCAUUGGUCAUUCUUGGAGAAGGUAAUUGGUACCUCGGACCAUUUGAGGAAUGUUGGUGUCGUAGGUUCAAUGAACAUUAUCUCUUGAAAAGUGAGCUUCUGCGGUCGCUUAGUUGCAGUACCCAGGGUUCCAUCGAAGAUGAUGUUGACGUUGUUGAGUGGGUUCUGGAAUUUGCCAUUGUCACCGUUGUCUUCGUUUUCCUUGGCCUUGCUCUUGCCUUUGGUGCUAGAUGGCUCUGGGAGGUCCUUCAUGACUCUGCGUAAGCUAAAGCAUCUAUCGCAGAGUGUUUGUGGUAUGGGUGCCAUAGGCACUGUUUCUUCAGGAGCUCGUUGAACGAGGGUCUAUCUUGAUUCUUGCUGCCACCUUUUCGGGACAAUUGUGACACUGCCAUGAUAGUAUUGUCUGGCUUUCAGUUGCGGUAGUGACCUCUCGAGUAGUUAUUUCGGUUAUCAUUGUUCGGGCAAUCGAAUGUUUUGAUCUCCCUAUCUUUUUCAUCUGCCCAGUAAUGAGAGAAUAGAGUUCUCGUUUUAGGGAAUAGCUUCCUGAACUUGAAGUGAUGACCUCUAUGGUGCCGCCUUCUUUGUAGAUGGGCGACAGAGGAGUUCCCUCCUCGUAUGGGAGGGUGUCGAGGUAGGCGAUGUGGUGUGAUACAUCAUCCUUGGCGAGAUUAGGUGGCUUCAUGUUGGGCCAGUAGAUGAAUUUGCCUUGCGGAGUUGAUGUGAUCACCAGACCCUACAGCGGAACUAUUAAAGGAGUCUCCUCAUCCGGGUGCAAGUAGUAGUCGAGGUCCUUGAACAUAUCCGUAUCGAAUUGUGAUUUGGGCAGGACCACCUGAUAAACAGUGGUUGUGUUGCUUAGUUCGAAUGGGAAUCAACUCUAGUGGCAAUCUGAUUCACACGAUGGCUUAUGUGCUAGCUCGUGCGGGUAAUUUUGUCUGGUGGAAUAAGUCGAGUUGUACUCGGGCUUGUCCCCCCAGCCUUUGACUAAGUAAGAAAUUUAAAAUUCGCCGAAUUUCUCGACAAGAUCGUCCAGAGCUUGGCGCUGGAGCUCCAUGGUUUGUUGCUUCUUCUCCGAGGUCGAUGCAAUGUGGCAAUGGAAAUUUCAAGUGCCGUUUGUGAUGCAAAUCUAGGUGCUGAAUAUGAACAUCGUGCCUACUUCAAAUGCAACGAUUGGCUUGUUGAUGACUUGUGCCAUCGAGUUCGCCAGUGGAUUCUCAACGAGUUCCCCUACCGAGCAUGCCAGCUGUUGGUGUUUAGACCCAGCAACCUACCGAGGGGGGUGCUCAAGGUAGUGUUUUGGUUAGUGGAGCUUGUCGAGAUCAAGAACUCGAAGGUAAAUGCAGACACAUGAUUUAGGCAGGUUCGGGGCACUGAAUAGUAUUAUACCCUACGUCUUGUGUGUUGGCUUGAUUAAAUUGCUUUGGUGAGGGUCCCUGCCUCACCUUAUAUUGCUGGGGGAAGGGUUAUAGGUCGGUUGGUUACAAGAAAACUAGUCAGAUUUGACUAGACAAGUUUUACUCUUAUUGUUAUGAGUACUUUUCCGAAUCCUCGACUAGUUCCUAUCUUGCCACAUAAACUACACUGUCCUACACCAUAGUCUCUAUUUCAGAUACGUCUCGGUCUCCAGCCCCAUAUUUAGGACUGUCCAAACUUUCUGGUGGGCCCAUUGAUGUAUGUACGACAUGCUGUGUUAAUUAUUUUUAAGAUUAAUGUUUCUUGGAGAUUUGUUUGUUUAAGCAACAGGUGUUGGAAGCAACCAUGUCAAGAAAAGAAGGAAGAUUGGAGGACAUCUCUGCACAGAAGGAGAUAAUCUGGAAAUGAUAAGGACCAAAGGCAACAAGAGUAGAAGCACCAUGACACUAUAAAUCUUCUCCAGUGGGAUGUUCAAGAGCUUCUAAUUGAGUGAUGCAACCAAGGAAAAAAACUGCUCAGGUCAUCGACACAAAGCGCUAGAGCCUGCUCUGAUCCCGCCACCUUGGCUAAAGCAAGAAUUAUGGAGAAGAUGCAUCAUUGCUACCAGCUACUCGCUGGUGUAGUAAUGGUGAUGACCUUGAAGCCAAAGGGUGCGCAACAUAAUGCCCCAAAGACCACAACAUUAUGAUCAUCAACAUCUAUGGAUCAAUUUACAAUAAGCAACUAUUGUUAUCAAGAUUUUACAUAACCUCAGAAGUAAACAACAAAAUAUUUUUGUAUAUUAAGAAGCCCCAUGAAGUCUACAUUCCAACGCAUCAAGCAGCAAGGCAAUCGUAUGUUCCUACAAGAGGUUAUGGCCAAAUCAUCGAAGGUCGCGCGUCCCGAAAUCAGUUCUGGACAGCGCACAGUGCUGAAAUAAAACAGGCAUAACUCUCUCAUUUGAACUCCAUUUUAGAUGAAACACCACUCGUUAGAAAGGUAAUUUCAUAAAAUUUUCAAUAGAGCUAUAUUUUAGUAUAUGUUCUGUUCUAUAUGCAGGUGAAGAUCCAUGAGGAAGAGGCAGAAGCAACACGAUGAAAACAAGAUGGGGGAGAUGAAUAUGACAACAAUGAAGAGGAGUUUGGGCAAUGCUUUCAUCAAGUGUACAUGAUCAAAUUUAGAAUAUUAGAAUAUAAACAAAACCUCUGGAGCAUUAGCAAAUGAAGACACAAGUAGGAGACAUUCAACGCAAGGAGAUGUUAGAAGCAAAUCAUGAUGGAUUGCGAAAGAUGACAUCAAGCUACAUGGAUACUUAGGUUCUAGCCAAGUACUACUGACCAGGGAAUACGGAGAUUCUUCGCGAUCAAAUAUCAAACUUCACCAGUACACUACGGAGACAACCUUUGAGGUGCUCAAGCACUUCAAUGACUACCUUGUCCACAUCACAGAUAUCCAAGAACGGACCUAGUUGUGAAGUUCUAUGGCUAGUUGACAAUAGCUUCACACAGAAUCAUCGAUGCAUCUGUCAGAGGUUCGAUUGUUGACCUUACUCACAGUCAGGCUAAUACUUUGCUGAAGAAGGAUGGUAAUAAUGACACCUGGGCAUCAACGGGAACCAACAAAAGUUUUACUAGAAGUGGAGCUUGUUGGAUCAUCAACAUCUCAUGUUGAAUAUUGCUGUUGUGAUUAGUUUUCCACCCAUGAUCAGAGAUGUACAAUAGAAAAAAAUUGUAACUUAAGAAGCUCAACCAAGUCUUCUUUCCAACACAUCAAGAAUUGUUAAGUUUGGAGAUCUGUAGGAGUUGCGAUAAAAUCUUUCAACGCUGCAUGUUCUGAAAUCAGCUCAGGACAGAACACUGUGACGGAGUAAAAUUGGCGUAACUCACUCAUCUGGAAUCCAUUUUGGGUGAACGACUAUGACAUACCUAGUGUUUAAAAGAACAAAACAAGAGAAAUUAAAAAGUAAAUUAGAAACAAAUCAAAGUUGCCAAGUGUCAAAUUUCAAAAACCUUUUCAAAUUCUUCGAAGUGUGAAAAACACAGCUAAAAGGUAGUUAUUUGGGUAGGAUUUAAAAACAUAAUUUUAUAUAAGAACUCAACUUUUUGCCAAUAUAAAAGUUGUAAAACUUUUCAAACUAAAUAACUUUCAUAAUUUGCACUUUGUUUGAUUUUGAGUGAAAGGCAUUCAAAAAGUGGAUCAAAAUUUAGUCAAGUUUGAGUCAAAUUCAAUUUCAACCUUGCCUGGCGUUCCACCAAAGUUUCAAUGAGUUUAUCUCCAAAUCUAGCACGAUUUUCACCUAUCAGGUUUUGUAGAACUUUGAGUCUGUAGUUCAAACUCCAACUUCUACAUUUCAAGAUUCAAUGUUCAGUUCAAAUUUUUGGAGAAUUUUUGCCGAAAACCUGAUGCCCUCGUGCGCCACGGCAAGCCCACGUGCGCCUGAUCCACGGUGAUCGUGCACGGCACGUGCAACAUCACCAUGUCGCACUACCUGGCUGUUCUCCACCGCUCGGUCAACCCUCACCGGUGACAAGAUGGGACGAGUACGGCCACUGCCCACUCCGCGCCUACGCAAUCACCCGCUCUCCACGCCACAUCUCCACAGGCCAACCGCGGAAUGCGGGCCACGCGUGCGCAGCUGCACACGCCACCGCAGGCCAAUGUGCGCCCCCUCCACCCUGCUGCUUGUGCCCAGCCGCCUCCGACCUGCCCAAUGCGCCACGAGCUCGUCAUGGGCGUCACCUUGUCCUCCCGCCGCUUUGCCGCUAUAAAAGGGGCCGUGCCCUGCUCGCUGGCGCCACACUUUACCCCCACACCAAAGCUCGCCACUCGUCUUUGGCCCCCACCAUCGAACUCCCCCUUUUGAGCCACGCCAGAGCCCCCUAACACCUCCAGUGCACCACCCAUGCCUUGCAAGACCUCCUCAAGCAACUCCCCAGCCUCCUCCGCCGCCAUUGUCACCGGAGACGACGCCCCCCAAGCAACGCCCAAAGCCUCACCAUGAAGCGGCGCUACCAGACCUUCUCCGCCCACGACCCUCACAGCCCGACGACCCCCGGUGAGCCCCUCAUCACGCCCGAGCCCUCACCCCGCACCCCCAUUGCCGGAGCUCGCUGGAUUUCGUUGGAGCGCCGUCAGCCGAGCUCCCGAGGGUGACAUUGCAAAGCCCCACAUAUUUCCAGGGUCCUUAGAGCAAGAAUGUAGGGGUCUCAUUGUGAAACUUCAAAACACUUAAGGGCCUGGUCGUAAAACCUAUUUUCCUUUUCGAUUUUAAUUUGAAUUAAACAGCUAAAACUUGGACAAUGUAGAAAAAUGGGGAAAAAGUGAAACUAGUUUUCCUAGGUUCUUGAUGAUGUCUAGUUUAAUUUAAAAUGAUCGAAAAAUACUUGCUCCUAUGAAAUAUGUGUUUUCCAUUGCUUAAGAAAAUACAUGUUGUUUAAUCUCCUUUUUAUGGGGUAAAUAGUUCUCAUGCUCAUAAAAUCCUAAGAAAGUUCACAGUAGCAUAUGUUAGUGUUGAUAACCCUUCUGUAAAAUUUGUGGAACCAAACUGAGGACAGAACUCUAGUUAAAAAUCAACCUUCAUGUUCUGCCAUUUAAUAUUGUUUGUUUUUAAUAAACUCUGUAGAUGUCAAAUGUAUCAUAAAUUUUUACAGUACAUCACUUGUGUAGAGGAAAAGCUUCUGUAAAAAUUUCAUGUUUAUAUCUUAACAGAUGCUUCCAGAAAGUUUUAUUCAUGUUUAAGAGCUAGUUUAAUUAUGAAUAAAAAUUGCUACAAGAAAUGGUAGACUAGCAAAAUGAUUAAUUAUGUUUUUAUUCAGAAAUAGGAUAACUUUUGCUAUGAUUGCAAAAUAAUACCAACAUGACACCACCUUUAUUUUAUGAAUGCUAAGUUCUAAACAUCUUAUAUGUGUAUACAAUCACCAUCAAAGUAAAACCAAGGUUUUAAUCACAACCCACCUUGUUUUAUGAAGAAAAGAUUUGUUAAAGUCUUAUCUAGGUCAAUGUGGCCAAAAAGAAAGAAACGGUCAAAAUCUUGUCUAGGUGAAUGUGCUCGAAAAAUGCAUCCUAUGCUUCUGCAGUGAUUCAUGAAAUGCAACCUACACCAUGAAAGCGAGUAAUUGAAAUCUUAUGCAUAUGCAUCUCGUGUAGAAGCUACUCGCACCGACAGCACGUACAAGUUGGUUCUGGAUGCUGAAGAGGAACACUCGGCCGCUGCAGUGAACCUGAUUGAGGCCACACAAGACCCGAGCCAAGCUUUGGAAGAGCCACAGGCUAGCGUAACAAGAAGGCAAGUCCCGGAGCAUAACCUUGGUUUCAAAAAUUAUGCAAUACUUUUAUUACUUAUGUUUCUGCAUUAAGUUUAUAGGAGUGGCUUAAAACCUUUGUUGCAUGCUCCUAGUACCCAUGUGUUGGUUGCUAUGCUAAAUAGGGACAUGGUAAAAGUCGAGUGAUUUCCUGUCACUCGCGAGCUAUAGGAGUUGCCUAUUUACUUAUAUUGGAAUCAUAAGGUUGACUUGUGGGGCUUGGUAAUAUGUUUUGGAAUUGGUGGAUGCCCCGUCUGUUUAGAGGAAAACGGUUAAGGUCUAAAUUUAUUAGAGUCGUGGUCAAGUGUUUGAAAGUACUGAGCACUUACCGAGUACGGGAUCGGGAAGCCUAGUAUCUGAUUGAACUGAGGCGUGGACAUACUCCCUGAUCUCUCUGGAACCGGGUUUCCCUGAUGCAUCUUGUGGGUACAAGUGCAGCCUCGGUAUGGCGUAGUUCUGGGACCGACGGGGCCUUGUAUCCAAGGGAAUUGGGCCCUGGACACGUGCUGGGGAUCAAUGGAAACGGUUGAUAUAUGUGAACCUGUUGUGGUACGCAUAUGUCAUGUGUUUAGGUCCACCUUGCAAGGUUAAGAAAUUUUAUUCAAAUUGUCUGCUUCUCAUAGUUUGGGACUGCUUGAUCGUCUUUCUACACUGAGUAAGAAGAGGAACAAAGGUUGAUGUUUAAUAUGGAUUCUUGAUUAAUUUGCUUGUUUCACCAUGCUUGCUUAGAAUAGGUGCUUACCUAGAAUGGUUAAUCAAUAAGAACUUGAUGCUAAAACUUGAAAGUAAGGAUCCACUUUUGAAACUUUGGCAAAAACAAACCCUCAGCCAAAAAGCCUCCCAUGUCUAGGAGUCGGUGGAUUAGAUAGCACCUGACGGGUAAGUCUUAUGGAGUAUUAGUAUACUCAGCCUUUCUUGUGGCUAUAUUUUCAGGAAAUGUUGAUUUUGAGGAUAUGAUUACCAGUGUGACUUGGCUGUCUUAGCUCCCUUUAGGUUGGAUGGUUGAGUGGGACCUGUCCUUGGUUGGUGAGUAUCGUGGUGAGUGAUAUCAUGGAGGCUUCACCAUGGUAUUAUGUAUCGUCAUUAGAACCAUUGUUUUCUUUUUCCACUACUAUGAACUCUGAAAUACUCUUUUAUGCAUUCGAACACUCGGUUGUAAUAACUUAAUUUGGGACUUGUAAUAUGUUAUCUAGAUUGUGAAGCGUCCCCACAUAAGUAGAGACUAAAUGUGAUACAAAUAUCAGUCCCAGGAGGCUGAUAACACAUUUAUUCAACAGAUGGUUCAUAAACCGUACAGCUCCUGAAGGAGCGGGUGGGCAAGCCAUACCCAAAGGAGAACUAAACCAACAGUGAUAUAGAUCCAAGUUGCAGUCCAGUCGGACUCCGGACUACAAUCGGAACGGAUCCAAGUUGCAGUCCAGUCGGACUCCAGACUACAAUCGGAACUAAGCGUCAGCGGAAGCAUCCUGCAAAGGCCAACACCACAGGCAGCGUUGGGUGCGGACACGACCUUCUACUCGAGAUCCUCGACGACGUAGUCUGGGUCUUCCUCUGAAGCAACAAAAUAACGGUGAGUACGAAAGUACUCAACAAGUCCAACCCCAUCCACGGAGGGGGAUACAAGCAAGAGUAUGCACAGGAGAUAACAAGGAUGAGGUUAAGGUUCAUUUGUAAUAAAGCUAGAUUUUCAACACAUGCAAGGGUUCAUUUUCAAAAGAGUUUUCGCAAAGCAUUUCCUUUAGUAACCGAACGUUAAGUGGGGUUGAUACUACAUAAAGGAUCCAAAUUAUAUUGCUAUCGGACUCCCCGUCCACCAUAGCCCACAACACAACUACCGGACACUUCCAAAAUCCAACACACGCCAUAAAAUCAUCCCUCUCCAAGUACUAGUUAUGUGACCAAGCUGUAACUCGUCGAAUGCCAUGGCCACGGCUACCCGAAUAGGUUUUAACUCUACAGAGGUUGUACACUUUUCCCACAAGUAGGGUACCGCAGCACAAUCACCUUAGUGCCGGUGCAGAUCUUAGUAAAGCCAUUACCCACCUUAGUUAAAACUGACUAGUCCACACGGAAACAACCAAGGGGUUAACGACCUACCAACGAGGUCGUAACUGGGACCUAAGUCACAAUGAUCUUACUCCUUUUCCAUGGGCUCCCGUUGCUCACCAGCUCACCCGAAGACUAAAAGUCUAGCUAGUGGGAUUUAUGCAAAACCGUGGCCGCAUACAAUGGUCGAGUGGUUGCACGAGGGUUGGGUUAGGCAAGAUGACACAUCAACUCGGUCCUUAACCUUGCUCAACCACCAAGGUACAAUGACAAGAUGGAUAUCUCCCAACCUUGCUCAACCACCAAGGUACGAGCCCAACAUAAUGGCAUUUCACCCAUGAAACACCCAUCCAUCUCAUCUCAGCAUCUCUUUCCUUCACCUCCGAAAAACCCAAUUUCCCUUUUUAAAACACUCACACAUUUAUUCUUUUAACAAAAUACAUGGUGGUCAUGAUUGAAUUGAGUAACAAGGUCCUAAGCAUUCUAGCAGUAAUUAUCAUCCAAACAGAGCAAGUCAUAUUUAGAGAUAAUUAUAGGACAAGCAAGGAAUAAUCAUAACAAUCAAGGGGUGGCUAUCCAACCAUGUUUGAGCAGUAAAAUAAUAUGCAAUUUAUAAAGCAGGCUAAUAGGUUGUGUUUGAAAAACUAGGAUAAAUAUGCGUCAAAGGGUGAGAUUCGACUUGCCGUUCUCAAAGCCUUCCGGGAGUUCCUGCUUGUGGUAGUGGUCCUUGAGCUCAGGCUCGCGGUCCAACUCCUCGUGCUCCUCCUCGGGUACUCCGUGAUCUACGGCACACACAAUCGAGCACACAAUAAAUAAAAGAGAAUUAAAAUUUUUCUCGUUGAGCUACGAACAGAGAAUGCGAAUGGAAAAUUGGAGUGAGUAUUUUCACAAAAUUGGAUAUGCCUCAACAAAAGUAUAUGGGGGAGGCCGUGGUCGAAUUUGGGAUCAAUUCGAGGAAGUUUGGCGCAUGAAAUGACGAGUUAAAGGAGUGUUAGGGGCUUAAACAAGGUUUUAGGACUAAACUGCGAGAACCAGGGGCCUAUUUGUAAUUAUUUCUGAAAGGUGGAAGGGCAUAUCUGUGAGACUUCUUUGAGAGAGGUGGAAGGGUUGGUUUGCAAAUAGGGGAAACUAGGGGGUUAGAUAGGUGGUGGGGAGGGAGGAAACCGAUGGGGGACCGGCUGGCCGGGCCUCGCUGGCGGCGGGCCGAGUGGUGGAGGAGGUAGAGGAGGGUGUCGGGGACCCAUUUUGGCCCUCACCUUGGGAGGAUGGUGAUGGGGAAGGGGGCGCCGGGCAUGGUCAAGGGGGCGGUGGGGGAGCUCCUAGCGGCGGCGCGUAGGGGCGGUGGAGCAAGGGGGCGGCGAGCUGGGAGGCAUGGGCGAGGUGGUGGCAAGGGGCGGCCGAUCCCUGGGCCCUUUUAUAGGUGGCAAAAGGGGGGCGAGCGACGGCCGGAGGGUCAAUGGUGGCCGGAAUCCCCGGCCGUUGGUGUGCGGGAGCGGAGCUCCACGUGGAUGGCAUGGUGGGGGCUGGCUCGGUCGACGAGAAGCACAGGGACAGUGGCCGACGUGGAGUGUGGGAGUGGGCGGCGACCGGCGACUGGCGAUGGAACGCGGCUGGCGAGGCGAGGCACUGGGGCGGGCGUCGUGCAGGGGGUCGGCGGGCGACGUGCAGGCGGUGUGCGGGGUGGCCAAGCGUGCGGGCACGGUCCCGAGGUGGCGUGCAGUCAGGGUGGGCUAGUGCGCGGGCCAGGCGCGUGGGUCGAGCGGCGCCAGGCGAGUGGUGCCAGGCGGGUGACACUAGAUAGUGCGGCACCAGGGAGAGCGUGCUAGGGAGAGGAGAGGAAAGAGAGAAGGAGGAAGGAGGAAGAAAGAGAAGGAAAAGAAGGAAGAAGGAAGAGAGAAGAUAGAGAAGGAAGGAAGGGAGAAAAAGAAAAGGUGAAAAAGGGGAGGGAAAAAGGAAAAGAAAAAAGGGAAGGAAAAAAUCGGCGAAAGUUGCGGAAUCAGUUGGGCACGCACGACGGAUUUGAAUUAGUAAAUUUUACGAGCGUUACAGAUUGUUGUAAUCUCUAGACUCGUCUCCGUGCAAGCUUUGUAUGCUUGUUUCGAUCAGAAACACGUGGUUGUAUUGGGUGAAACCCGACAGACUACCAUUUUAAUUCAAUUAAAGUGUUUAUUCGCAUUUGAGGCGAUGUUGAGAACAUUUUAGCUGGGUUAAUUUAGGUGGUUCUGCCACAAUGACCUUUUGUUUGAAAGGGAAUUUGAUGAGCUAUGCAGCGGAAGAAUCCGUUUUGUACAUGUUCUUUUCUGAACGCAGAGGAAUUCAAUGAAGAAGAGGCAUCAACGAGGAAUGGUAGAGCAUAAUGAAAACAUGAAGGCAAACAUUGACCUGUUGAUGAGAAGAAUGGAGAUGCUAGAGAAGAGAAGAUAGUUGCAUAGCUUGGAGAAGAAUGCAAACUUGUAGAAUUUUUUUGGGAAAAGAUAAAGAUAAAAUAAAGGAACAAGACUGCACCACUAGCACAGGAUGCUGGGAAGAGUGGAAACCUGAAGGUCCAGCUAUAGACGAUAACCGAAGCGAUUUGCGGGAGGCAACCUGAACAUUGAGUUAGGUAAUAAGCUUUUGUGAGGACAACAUAAUUUUAUUUGAGUCAUUUGAGUUUUGCUACACUAGUCACUUCUUGAUCUUAUGGAUGUUUUUGUCGAACACUUUGAUGCAUGAUUCUUUUCUUGGUUGUUAAGAUUUUGUUUCUUUUUCAAACAUUUUCAACAAAACCUAUGACAACCUAUCCAGUUUUUGUUUCUUUUUAUCACCCAUGAAAAACUAGAAUCAGAGGAGCUAAAAACCCACAUGAGCCGAUUGGCCUGCUCCCACAUGAGCUGAUCGGCCUGAGCUCUUUUUGCACGUCCACGGCCCCAUCUUUGAGUAGAGCAUGCAUAAUAUUUUUCAUGAUUUAUUUCUGUAUAGAAUAUGCAUGCUAGGCUCGUGAAACAUUAAGAUGAAAAUCUUUUUUGGUUUAUGCUUAUUGGAAAUCCGAUUUUUCUAGUUAGAGUUUUCUAAGCCUUUUAUUUUUGUUUCUUUCAAAAUUCUCUCUAUUUUAGCCAAAACUAGGAACCCAAUACCACAAACCGUGGAUGGUAAAUAUUCACGAUUAUUUAGUAUGAUUCAAUAGACAAAAUGUCUUUGAUUUAACCUAAAUUAAUGUGGAUGAGAAUUCUUGAUCUACAUUGGUUUUGAUAGUGAACUUCACCUCUGGUUUACAUAAUGGCUCGGUGAUUGUAUUGAGCAUGAUUUUAUUUUCAAAAUAAGAUUUGAAUUUUCAUGUUGAGAACAAUAAAACCAUGACCAAGCAUUGAUCAUUUUUGAGCCAUGGCUUUUGCAUUUUGCUUUGCUUCCUCAUGUCAGCAAGAAACCCUGGUGUGCUCUCUGUUUGUGCUCUCUGCAGGAACCACAAAAAAUAAAAUAUCAAGCAAAGGAAAGAGCAUGUUAAAGAGCAUGUCAUGAAAGUCCUCAAUUGGAGGAUCAGCGCCAAACCACUCUUUGAGUUGACAUAAGGACAUGAUAAGGAAGAACAACAGCUGGCUAACGGACAAAGCGACCAUUGAACAAGGGAGAAGCAGAUGAAACAACACUCAUACUCUUGGUUUGGAUAUCUUUCUUCCCUCCUUGUUUUUCAUACCACAAGUUGUGGUAGUGUCAGCAUGUUUUCAAUUUUAUUUUUAGCAUGUGUGUCAAAUGAAACAUUCAUCACAUUGAGCUUAAUUUCAUAUGAUUAAUAUAUAUGACGUUGUUUAUGCCUUUUGAAAUAUGGUGGAUGUUGCCACCUUGUUAAUUGUUGUAUUUAGUUAUCUAUAGCUCGAUAGGUUCUCCUUGGAUAUGACUUAAAAUAAAUUAAAUGCCAGCUAAUUUUUAUGGAGGUUCAAUGAUUUUUAUUAAAAUCCACAUAAUUCUUGUUACUCUCUUGUUUAAUUUUACUAAAGGCUUGUUUUUGUUUUCAUGAAAUAAAUUCUUGCAAGAGUUCUAUCCUGUCCAAAGCUAUAUUUAUUCCUUCAUGAUAAACCUUAGAUUGCAAGUUUAUAUUUCAGAUGAAUUGGAUUAGGAUUGAUUUCUAUAGUAUGAGAUUUAGAAGCUGGUCAUUCCUUUGUGUAACAAUUUCUUGCUAGCCUUUCUAUCCAUGCAUUGUGACUUUUCUACACUAGAAAUUUCACAAACCUCGCUAAGCAUCCAACCAAAAACCCAAAUAUCUUUUUGUGAUUACCCUCUAUGACCACAACCCAAUAUGACUAUGGAAUAAAUUCUCAACAUCAAUUCAGAGGAUCCACUGGCACCUUUUCAUGAUAAACAAGAUUUGGAGGCCGUCAGCCGCGUGCAGAAUAAAAAUUAAAGAAAAAAGAGGAAAAACAAGGCCAAGCUGAUCGGCUUGGACACCCUCAGGCCGAUCGGCCUGGGUGGUUCCCUCUAGAAGCUCUAAUUUUUGGCAUGGAUGACCUCCCUAAAGAAUCAAAUAAUUUUCUGAAGAAGACCAGAAAAUUUGAUACUUACAUCAGCAGUCAUUUUAUUCUCUCUUUCAUGCUCGAGGACGAGCAUCGUUCAAACAUGGGGGAUGAAGUCAUCGCAUUAGCUUUGACUAUUGCUAAGUAAAUAUUAUUUUGCAAGAAGUUCUGAAAAGGCAAAAAGAAAGAUAGAAAAAGAAAAAAAAUGAGAUAAGAAAAAGAAGAAAAGGGGCAAAAACAAAUAAAGAAAAAAAGAGAUGAAGAAAAAUGAGAAUAAAAUGCACCUCGGCUCUUUAAGAUUCAUAAGAUUUCCAGUGUCCUAAAUGUUACACCAUACUCAUUUUUUCAACCAUAUGCAAUAUGAUAACAAGGACUUCAUUUGUACCUCAAGAUCAUUCACUUGCCACUUUCACAUAUCCACCUAUCUAAAAAGUGUGUGUUCCAUUCUCCCCCUCUCCAUGAGCAAUUAUUUCUCCAUGACCAUUUUGACAAGUCUAUGUAAACCCAAUAGAAAUUUUUCCUAGUUUGAUAAUAUUCUGAAUAUAAUACUUUGCUAGGACUGUUUCUACCUACCAAGCUCCAGAUAAAGCCUUCUACUUAUCUAUAUGAGUAGAAUAGGUUGACAAUGUUCUAGCAUAUGGUUUGUGAGACUUGCUGAGCUGAGACUUUCCAUUGAGUAAUUGCAAGAAUUUUGUUGCCGAUGUUGAUCUAGCUCCUUUUUGAAAAUAGUGAUCUAUUGAAAGAAAAGUUUUGAAGUAUAUUUAAAUUUUAGAGUACUAUUCUAAAUUGUUUGUGACUUUUUCAUUAUUGAAAAAUAUCUAUCCUCUAUAAUGAUAAGCUGGUUACAACUUGAAUAUUAAUUGAACAUCUAAAUGGAGCGCCAUGUCUUGCUAUGUAUGAUUAAGUGCAGGGUUAACACUGAAGGGCAAUGCUGAUUACUAUUGAAGACUUGCUUGAGGACGAGCAAGGUUUAAGCAUGGUGGAUUGUUGAUGCUCCUUAUUUACACACUUUUACCCCAUUUUAUCUUCAAUAUUGGCUUACAGAUGAUAUCAUCACUAUUGAUCAUACUCAAUAAUCAGGCCAUUUUCGCAUAUGCAUUGUAUUUUGGAGAAUAUUCUAUUUUUGUAGGAAAUUGGACUUAAUUGAAGCAUAAUUGGAUAAGGCUUACGACAAGCAACGAACCAGAUAAAGACGAAGGCCAACAGGCUCAGAAAGAGCCUAGGCCGAUCUGCCUAUAGAGGCCCAGGCCGAUCAGCGCAGGGUCCUCUAGCGCCCAUUCAUGCUCAUCUUCGGCGAGGACUCCUCCAAGAAGACUUAGGGGAUAAUUUUCACAAGAUAUGGCAAGUUCACUUCAGCAUCACAGAUGGAAGCAAGUAAGACUUUGGAAAGAUAUCAAGAUCCAUAGUUAUCCGUAGGCUAUUGACGUGCCAAGCCUGCAUGCAAGUAAAAAUAAGUUUCUUAAACAUUAGAGAAGACUUGGUCACGAAGUUGGACAUGAGGGGGUAAAAGGAAGGGUUAGGCUAAUCGGCCUGGACCCUCCUAGGCCGAUUGGCCCAGCCCUUUCCUUCGCCCGUUUGCCUUCCAAUUUAAAUCACAGUUCCUCCAGACUAUAAAUACCCCAAUUUUCUAUCGAGGACAUAGAUUGGAUUGAAGAUUUAAAGUAGAAGGAGCCGAGGAACUUGAGGGACAACCAUUUACAGAGAAUUGAGGGCCGUGCAGUUGUUCGGAGGCUAGCUUAUGCUAGGCUCUUGCCAGUGUGAUCACCCUGCAAGGAAGAUCCACGCUGGAGUUCUAGAGCUAGGAUUCACAAGUCGCGGGUAUGGCCUCGGUGGAGAUCUUGUGAUGAACAAUCAUUCAUGGUGAAGUAAUAGAUUGGUUUUAAUUCAAUAGCGAUCUAUAUGUCUCGUUUUAUGAUUUCCUUGUUAUGUGUUUGCUUAUUCCAAUCUAUUUACGUAGUAGGUUGCAUAGGGUGUUCUUGUAGUCAUGGUGACUAGAAUUGCAUGCCUGAUCUAUCAUAAUAGCUAGACAUGUGCUUUAUGUUCAUGCCCUUAGAUUGCUUGCGCUGAUAGGUAGGAUCGUUAUAGGAUCUGAUGCUAUGUAAGGUGGUGGUUUAAAGAUACUUUGAAUGAGAACCAUGUGUUUGCUUGCCAUGUGGUUUAAAGGUACUUUGAACUACAACAUAUGCAUAGUCUAGACUUUGCUCUAGAUGAGUUACCUCUUGUUCAUAUCUGCUCAUGCUUCUUAUAUAUCCAUGUCCAUUCAUGCCUAUUCACAAUCACUUUGCAACUCAAAUCAUAUUUCCUGAUGCUUAGUUAGUAUAGAUCCUGUGACCUUGUUUCCACGGAUUGAUAAACCUUGGUGGAAUACUCUAAGGGAAAAGCUACAACUGAUCCAUGCACUUGCGAUUCAUAAAUUUGUGUGCUAACUGCCAUCAACACGGAUCUGUGAUCAUCAAAUCUAUACCAAUAUGCUAAAGUGAUACUCUUUUCUUUUGCACUUCUUCUUUGACUAACAGGUACUUAAAAUCCUUAUGUUUUGCUCCCUUGGAGUACCUGUCAUUUUUAGAGAACAAGACUGCAACAACGUUGUCACAAUAUAUCUUCAAUGGUCUCUCAACAUUGUCGAUAAUUUGUAGAUCUGACACAAAAUUCCACAGCCACAAUGAUUGAAUAGUGGCCUCAAAGCAUGCCACAAAUUCAACAUCCAUAGUUGAAGUAGCAAUGACAGACUCCUUUCCACUCUUUCAUGAAACUGCUUCUCUAGCCAAUAGGAAUACAUAGCCGAAUGUGGAUUUUCUUGAGUCCGCACAUCCGGCAUAGUUAAUUCUUAUAGCCUAUAACCUCCAAAUAGCUUGACUUCUUACACAUGAGCAUGUGGUCCUUAGUGCCUUGCGAAUACCGAAGAACCUUUUUCCCAAGUACCAAAUGAUCUUCCAGGAUUACUUUGAUAUCGACCAAGCAUUCCAAUAGCAAAGUUGAUAUUUGGUCAAGUACAUGUCGAAGCAUACAUUAAGCUCCCAACUAGUGAUGGAUAUGGAAAAGAUUCCAUCUCUUUCAUUCUUUGGACACUAUUUUUCACUAAAUUUAUCCCCUUUCUGAAUCGGAACCAUUCCCGCGGAGCAAUUUUCCAUUCUUAAUCUCUCCAAUAUUUUGUUAAUGUAGGCCUUCUAAGGCCCCCUUUGGUUGGGCUUUCCAACCUGCUUUUCCUUUUGCAAAAGUCAAAAGCCAACCAAAGGGUUUCAAACCAUUGAUGCUUUUGCCCAAAAGAAGCUUUCAUGGUAGUACAAAUCCAAAAGCAUCUCUCCUCCUUACUUUCAAGUGCUUUUGGGGCAAAAAAUUACCCACCUGCCACUGGUUAUGAUGUACCAUUUCAUUUUCUAGCGAUCUAUUUUUUCUCCCGUACACGAAAAGAACCCGACCGGCUCCUCUCCCCCGCCCCCCGCACCGCGCCGUCCCUGAUCCAGGCGGUCUGCCGCCCACCGCCCUUGGGCGCCGGCCGGAAGUCCACCUCCCCUAGCUGCCAGUCGGCCAUCCGCCGCCCUCCCUCACCGGCCACCGCCCGUCCACCGUCCCCCCAUUGUCGGGCCCCCGUCGCCGGCCCCCUAACGCCUGUCCGCCACCCCCAUCGUCGGGCCCCAGUCGCCGGCCCCCUAAUGCCCGUCGCCGCCCCCCCCCCAUCACUGGGCCCCUGUCGUCGGCCCAUCUGACGCCCGCCGCCAUCCCCUAACGACCGUUGUCGUGCCCCCGUCGCCGCCCCCUAACGGUCGCCGUCGAGCCCCAAUCGCCGCCCCGCUGAUGCCUGCCGCCACCCCCUAUCGGCCACCACCGGGCCCCCGUCGCCGGCCCCCUGAGGCCCACCACCGGCCCCCUGACGCUCGCCGCCACCCCCUGACUUCAACAGCAGGGCGCCCCAUCGCCGGCCCCCUGCCCCUGCUCCUGGUCACCAGGCGCACCCACCGCCCAAGGUUUGUCUUCCUUUUUCCUUCUCAACUAAUAUUUUUAUAACACUUGUUUCGUAUAAAUCAUUUACACUAUUCCAAUUGUUUUAUGUUGUCAGGUACAACUACAACACAAAAUCAAAUAGGAAGCUACCUGCGAAAAGAAACUUCUUGAGGUAUGAACAAUCAAUUGUACUCAGUAUGGUUAAAUGCAAAAUGAUAAUUCAAAAAUAUAUAAUCAGUGAACAUUUGUACUUGGACAUCUAUGCUUAAUUAUUUCCCAUUAGUUUAAUAGUUGGAUAGUGGCUUCAUAGUUAUGUCUUGGCUUGAUAGUUAGAUAUCUCUAGAACAGCUCAUGUUUUUGUCAACAUUUGUACUUGGAUAUUUCUAGAACAGCUCAUGUUUCUAUCUUCCCCGCACAUUAGACAAUUAGCUCUCUAUAAGCAUAUCAACAAAUCAUACAUAGAGGGGUCUGUUGGGUUGGAAUGCGUUAUAUAGCACUUUCGUUUUAGUUCUUAUGAUUUUUCUUUGAUUGGUUGAAGAAUGGGUGAUAAGGCGAAUUGGGGUGAUACUUUUUUAAGGCAUUUGAUUGAUGCCUGCAAAGAAGAGAUUGAAGCUGGGAAUAGGUCGAUGGGAAUUUUCACUACUAUCGGUUGGAAGAAUGUUGUUUCCAAGUUUGCAAAAAAAUCCGGUGACAGUAGAACAAAAAAACAAUUGAAGAACAAGUUAGAUCUUCUGAAAAAGGAGUAUUCAACGUUUAUGGAGUUCAAGUAUUAUGCAACUAGUCUUGGAUGGGAUGAGGCAAAACAAACUGUUGAGUGCUCAGACGAAUGGUGGGACGAACACCUUGCUGUAAGAACUAUGUUGUCAUUGUAAUUAUAUUCUUCCCAUUCUUCGUUAUGGUGUGCCUUGCUAUUUUUUUUCUAAUUGUAGAGAUGCAACAAUCGUGAGAAAGGAAUCAAAUGCCAUCAUAUCAAGUUUCGAAAACAAGGAUCCAAGUUCCUUGAUGACCUGCAUAUCUUGUUUGGCAAGGCACAUGUAACCGGGUCUUCUGCAUCCUAUCCUGGAGAUAUAUCAUCCAAUGAGGCAAGUGAUGAGAAUGUGGAUGAGGUACCAAAACCUACGCAGAAUGAUAUGACAGUGAACCUAGGAAAAAAGGAAACGUAAGGGUACCUCUAUUGGUGUUGAAGAGAAGGAUGAGAAGAGCCCAUUCUUUUGUUUAUACAAGUCCACUUGUUUGAAGAUAGAAAAUGUUGCAGAGAGGAUCUCCACAAGUGUUGAAGCAUCAUUAGCUCCUCCAACUAACCUAGUUCCUACCAUUACAGAGACUAUGAAGAUGGUGAAAGAAUGUGGGGUGCAAGAAGGAACUGCUCUAAUGCACACAGCCGCUUCCCUAUUUAUUAAACCUGAAUUUAGGGAGCUCUUUAGCUCUCUAGAAAAAACUAAAGGAAGACUGGAUUUGAUUGAGAGGGAGCUAGAAAAGGAGAUGAUGAAGCGCUACUGAUUUGUUUCCAUGUUUGUCAAAUUAUUUUAUUGUCAUAUGUGACAACAAUUUCCCUAUGUUGAACCAUAAUUUGUUACCUUCUAUUGAACCAUAAUUUGUUACCCUAUAUUGAAAAAUUAUUUAUCUAUUAGUGUGUUAUGUUGAGAUUUUUCAUUUAGUAUUGUCAAGAUAUUUGUUGUAUUUAAUUAUUAAUAUACUAAUGUCUCAUGUAGAUUGGGAGAUGUGGCCAAAGGAGGAUAAAAAGGACUACUACUGCUAGCUGAACUUGCACAGCAUGCUGGUGCUAUUGGAGAAAUGGGCAACUUGUAUACUGAGCGGUAUUUGCACAAAGCUGAAUAUAGGAAAACGUCAGAAACUGGAAUUCAAUGGGUGAUAAGGUGUAUGUCAUGUCCGAGGUAUUUUUAUAAGGUGUUUCGGAUGAGCACCGAGAUUUUUGAUAAACUUCAUGACUUGCUAGUCUCUACUUACGGAUUGACCUCAACCAACAAUGUUUCGUCUACUGAGUCAUUAGCAAUGUUCUUGUGGAUCGUCGGAGGACCACAAUCUUUUUCACAAGCUGAAAAUCGUUUGACACGGUCACUUUGGACAGUUCACAUAAAGUUUCAUGAAGUGUUGAAAUGUUUGCACAAGUUAGCUAAGGACAAUAUUAAGCCGAGAGAUCCUACUUUUUCUACGGAGCAUGAAAGGGUGAGAGAGGAUCAUUUUUGGCCAUACUUUAAAGGCGCAAUUGGAGCAAUAGAUGGUUCACAUGUCAAAGUGGUAGUGCCAGUGGACGAAGUGGUUAACCACACAUUCUGUCACGGAUAUACAUCUCAAAAUGUGCUAGCUAUUUGUGACUUUAAUAUGAGGUUCAACUUUGCGGUUGCUGGGUGGCCGGGUUCUGCACAUGACACACGUAUCCUCAAUCCUGCAUUGGCAAAUUUUCCUUCAUUUCCCAUGCCUCCUAAAGGUAUACAUGGUUCCUUCAACAAAUUAGCAAUAUUUGUAUUAUUAUGUACCUUACUAACUUGAUUUUGUAGGAAAGUAUUAUCUCGUGGACUCAGGUUACCCAAACCGAAUUGGGUAUCUUGCGCCUUUCAACGGAAGCACAUACCAUAUACCAGAAUUUCAGCAUCAUUCGGGGCCUCCUCAAGGAAAGUACGAGAUGUUCAAUUUCUUGCAUUCGUCUCUUUGUAAUGUCAUUGAAAGGUCUUUUGGAGUCUUAAAGUAGAAGUGGCGUAUUUUGAAGGACAUGCCAAGUUUCUCACCUCGUACUUAAAAACAUAUCAUUAUGGCUUAUCUUGCAUUGCAUAAUUUUAUUCGUGACAGCAAUUUGUAUGAUAAGGAGUUCAAGAGAUGUGAUGAUGAUGAGGAUUACUUGGUACAACAUACAUGUGGCAUGAGACAAACACAAGGAGAUGAGAGUGACGAUGUGGAGAAUGAGGAUACCAUGAAUACCAUUCGUACUAGGAUAGCUGAUGCUUUGGUUAGUGCAAGAGGAGGAGAGUAAUGUUGAGGGAUGGCAUCAUUGUAUAGAAAUUUUAAUGGAUAUAGUUGUAUUUAUGUGGACCAAUCACUUUAAUGGAUGAAAAACAUAUAAAAUUUAUUUUUUUUCUUUCUAAAAUAGUGGUUUACAUUUGAACUAGUGAAUGCAUUAUUUUGUUAUUAGCAAUUUGCAUAUAAACACACUUACAGACCUUUAGGGGCAUUACAGGUAUUUCUUACACAGUCUACAGUUUCACAGCUACUCUAACCAAACGGUCUUCUACUUUUUUCCCACAGUUGCUUUUCCACAGCCCACAGCUCACAGCAGCUUUUCCAAAAGCCACAACCCAACCAAACACACCCUAAGACAAUCCCAGCAAUCCUUGUUUUCUAUCAUGGAAUAUUUCUAUUCCAAUAGCAUAGGAUGCCUCACCCAUAUCUUUCAUUUCAAAAUAAUUGGAGAGAAACUUCUUUACAUCAUGUAACAAAGCCUUAUCAUUAGUAGCAAGCAAAAUAUCAUCAACAUUUAGGACUAAAAUAAUGAACUUGCUCCCACUGACCUUCAUGUAGAUGCACCAAUCAACAGUAUUCUCCACAAACCCAUACGUUGUAAUGGUGUCAUUGAACUUAAUAUACCAUUGUCGGGAAGCAUGUUUUAGUGCAUAUAUUGACUUCUUUAAUUUACACACCAAAUCUUCUUUUCCUGAAGCCGAAAAAUCCUUCGGGUUGGUUCAUGUACACUUUUUCAUCCAAAUCUCCAUUAAUAAAAGUGGUCUUUACAUCCAUUUGGUGAAGCUCCAAAUCAUAAUGCGCCACCAGAGCCAAAAUAAUUCUUAAAGAAUCCUUCUUGGAAACCGAAGAGAAGGUCUCCUUAUAGUCAACACCUUCUUCCUGAGUAAAACCUUUGGCAACAAGUCUAACUUUGUAUCUUUCAAUAUUAUCUUUUGAGUCACGUUUGAUCUUGAAGACCCAUUUACACCCAACUCGUUUGGAACGUACCUUGACGCAAUUACACUAACUCCCAGACUUUGUUGUCAUCCAUUAAAUUUUUCUUUUCUUUCAUGGCGUUAAACCACCUUUCAGAAUUAUCACAUUCCAUGGCUUGCUUAAAUGAGAUAGAGUCAUUUUCCAUACUCAAGUCACACUAAUGCUGAAGUGAAUAAACCACGUAGUCAUCCGAAAUCGCCGGUAUUUUCUGCCUUACAGACCAACGCACUACAUUUUCUUUCGGCACUUGACUUUCACUUGUGACUUGCACAAUAUUACUCACCUCAGGGACUAUCUUUUCAGCAAUGUUGUUAGGUUGUGACACAACAGUGCUAGUAGGAGUAUUGGAUUGAACUUUGUUAAUAUCCACCGUUCGUGGAUUUUCGCUCACACUAAUCUCACCGUUCUCAAUGAAUCGGGCAUUUCCUGUCUCAACAAUUCGCGUAGUAUGGUUAGGAUAGCCAACGAAGAAACCACUAAUGGUCCUUGCAUCGAGCUUCUUUUUGUGUGGAUUAUAUAAUCUUACUUCUGCUGGGCAACCCCAAACAUGCAGGUGCCUUAAGCUAGGUUUCCUACCUGUCCAUAGUUCAUAAGGGCAAGCAAGUCUGACACAUAUCAAAGCAUCCUGCUACAAGAAGUAAUGACUAUUACAGCUAAUACACACUGAUAUUUGUGGUCCAUUUGAUGUUCCUUCUUGGGGUGGUGAAAAAAAAUUCACUGCCUCUCACUAGUAGAGAAUUGACUUUCGAUACGCCCCCUUUUGUCCCGGUUUAAAGUUGGCCCGGGACAAAAGGUUCACUAACCAGGACUAAAGCUCGGUCACUGGUGGGGGGCUCACCAACCGGGACCUUUUAUCCCAGUUGCAAAGGCUAGUGUGAAAAAAAGAUCCUGAGAGGCAUUUUAUCCCGGUUUGAAACACCAACCGGGAUAAAAGACCCCCCUUUUAUCCCGAUUGGUGUUUCCAACCGGGAUAAAAGGGUCGAGAGCCUUUUAUUAUCCCGGUUGGUGUUUCCAACCGGGAUAAAAGGGUCCCAACGAGGUCACUGAAAUAGGACUAAAUCCCUCGAACCCUUUUAUCCCGGUUUGUAAUACCAACCAGGAUAAAAGGGGUCUUUUAUCCCGGUUGGUGUUUCCAACCGCGAUAAAAGGGUCCCCAUGAGUUAAUACAAAAGGAUAGCAUCCCCUACAUAGUCAGAUGUGUUAUGUAGGUGGGAUGGCAAGGAAGCUACGUGCGAGGCUGGAGGUUGUGGGUUCGAAUCCCAUGCAGCGCGCACGCGCAUAUUUUGCGUGAAAAAUCGCGUGACUUGUGACUUGCGACCGUGGUGACCCGUUUGAGUUACCAACCGGGAUAAAAGGGGGCUCUUUUGUCCCGGUUGAGUGACCCGGGAUAAAAAGACCCCCCUUUUUGUUCCGGUUGGUUUAUCCCAGAUGGAUUUUCAGGAGAUUUGCACCCUACCAACCGGGACUAAAGGCCAAUUCUCUACCAGUGUCUAUCGGACUUCACCACCUUUGCUUUUCUAUCAAGUUCCCUUUCAACCUCAUUUACAAACACCUCAAGGACGCUUGCGGCUUGAGACUUUUCAUGCAACAAGUAUAGAUAACAAUAACGUGAGAAAUCAUCAAUAAAGAGAAUGAAAUAUUUUUCACCACCCCAUGAAGGAACAUCAAAUUGACCACAAAUGUCAGUGUGUAUUAGCUGUAAUAGUUCACUACUUCUGGUAGCAGGGUGCUUUGAUAUGUGUCAGACUUGCUUGCCUUUAACGAAGUCUAUACAUACAUUCCAAUCAACAAAAUCCAAUUGAGGUAGUAUUUCACUUUUCACUAACCUCCACUGGUAGAGAAGUGAGCUUUAAUCCCGGUUGGUAGGGUGCAAAUAUCCCGAAAAUGCAUCCAGGAUAAACCAACCGGGAUAAAAGGGUUGAGAGCGCCGACGCUGCAAAAAAAAAAAAAUCCCGAGCUCCCAGGCAGGCCCCCCACACGCGCAAGUCACAAGUCACAAGUCACGCGAUUUUUCACGCGAAAUAUGCGCGUGCGCAGUUCGUGGGAUUCGAACCCACAACCUCCAGCCUCGCGCGUAGCUUCCUUGCCAUCCCACCUACACACCACAUCUGACUAUGUAGGGGAUACUAUCCUUUUGUAUUAACUCGUGGGGGACCCUUUUAUCCCGGUUGGAAACACCAACCGGGAUAAAAGAGUCUUUUAUCCCGGUUGGUGUUUCCAACCGGGAUAAAAGGGUCCCCCACGAUUUAAUCCCCUCCCAGUCAGCUUCCAGUCACCUCGUUGGGGGCCCUUUUAUCCCGGUUUGAAACACCAACCGGGAUAAAAGGGGGUCUUUUAUCCCGGUUGGUGUUUCCAACCGGGAUAAAAGGCUCUUGACCCUUUUAUCUUGGUUGGUGUUACCAACCGGGAUAAAAGGGGGGGUCUUUUAUCCCGGUUGGUGUUUCAAACCGGGAUAAAAGGCCUCUCAGAGUCUUUUUUUCCCAUUAGCCUUUGCAACCGGGAUAAAAGGUUCCGGUUGGUGAGCCUCCCACCAGUGACUGAGUUUUAGUCCCGGUUGGUGAACCUUUUAUCCCGGGCCAACUUUAAACCGGGACAAAAGGGGGCGUAUGGAAAGUCAGUUCUCUACUAGUGCUCAAAACCCUUUCCUUGGAUAUCUGACCCAAUCUCUUAUGCCACAAGAAAGCAGAUCACUCAUUAUGUGCACUACGUUUAUUUCCAACAAUAUGCUCAACAUAAAAUAGGGAUUUAGAAAAACCAUCAUCAAGAUUAAAACGGUACAAACCGUCAGUAAAGUACCGGAACCAUAAUAGUACUUAUUUUUAUAUAAUGAAAACAUACCGUCUCCAACCAUGAACUUAAAACUUAUUACAUCCAACUUGCUGAUAGACACGAGAUUUCUAGCACACUCGGGAACAUAAAGACACUCUUUUAAAUCUAAGAGUAGACCGGUAUCAAUGAUUAUUCUAUAAGUGCGGAUCCCUUCAAUACGUGCCUUCAUUCGGAUCCCCAUGUACAAGAACUUUUUAGGUCCGCUUAUGGGUUGGAUCAUAAGGAAUCCCUGCAUUACAUGUGAAACAUGAGUAGUAGCACCAGAAUCUAACCAUCAGGUUUUGUUUGGAACUUCAAUAAGAUUUGAUUUAAGCAUACGGAAACGUAAUGUAUACCUUUCUUUUCGAACCAUUUCUUCCUCUUCGGGCAAUCCUUCUUGAAAUGGCCAGUUUUCUUGCAGAAAUGGCAUCUCAGUUUCUUAUGGAUUUGCCCAUCACUUACAUGAAGUGGAUCCUUUCCCAUCUUCUUUCCCUUCUUCCCUGGUUUUGCUUUACUGCUGCUAGCGCCAUUAUCUACCAUGAGAUGAAUAGAAUGAUUCCCAUUUUUCUUUAACCUCCCUUCCUCUUGAAUUAAGAUGGCCUUGACUUCUUGAAUGUUCCAUUUAUCUUUAAUGGUGUUGUAAUUCACCUCAAACUGGCCAAAUUCUGGAGGAAGAGAGUUGAUAAUAAACUGGACCAAAAAGGGUUCAUCCACGUUCAUGCCCAUGGAGUUUACCUUUGCAGUAAGUUUAUCGCAUCAAGCUUGAAGACAGCCUAUUAGACCGUUCCAAUUGUCAUGAAGGUUAUGGUCUCCCUCAUUACUUUCCUCUGCAAUGGCUGCGGGCUUUUCAAGAACCGGUGCUAAAUCCAAGUUCAUAGCACCUAGAUGGAACCGAAUUUGUUCAGACCAAUCGUUAUAGUUCAGCCCAUUAAACUUGACUAUCCCAUAACUUUGACACAUUAGGUUAACAGAUGCUGCAAAUAUUUAAAUAUACUCAUAUAUUAAUACAUUGAGCAAACGAUAAUGGAUUCAAACGAUAAAACUAUAAGUGUGUCUAAAACAUCUUUGGAUGAAAUUUAGAUACACGGCAGGCAUAAAAAAUGAUGCUACAUAAAUACAUUUAAUGGAUAAACAAACACCCUCAAAAUAAAGUGCACGCUAUCUUUGGGUAGACUAACAAAAUUCAUCAAGCGCGCUGAUGUAUCCCGUUCAUGUUACCAAUUGUAAGCAAUGGUCCACCUUUGGGUGACCUCCCAGCUUACAACUAGCAAACUCAAUUGUCCAUCACUUCUUUCAAUAACUAGCAUCAAAAUUAUAUGAACAAUUGAAAUGCACAACUAAAUAUUUAGGUUCCCUUCACGCAAGGCCACUUUGGUGACUAACAUGCUUUUGAUGAUAUAAACAUUUAGUUGACAUAUCAUUUAACAGUUAUGCUCAUAAGAACGAUACAUGAGCUUUUGUGCAUCCAAAACCAUACGGAUAAACACACAAUUUUACUUGAAUAAACAAUACUAAAUUGGAUACAUUAUAACAAGCAAAAUAAACAUGUGAGAGGAAAACUUGUUAGCACAAAAGCCAUGUCAUUUUAUACAAUAGUAUAAACCUUCACGUUGUAUAUCUUUCAUGACAUGAACAAAUAUUAGACAACAAAAAUGAACUUUCAUGGUAAACCAAAUGUGCUAAAACUGGUUUUGAUACCAAAUGUUAGCAAAAAAGACAAUUCGCAGAAGUUUAACAAGAUCAGAUUAGCAGAAAAUGAUUCAACCGAAUAAAACAGUCUUUCAUGUAUGCAUCCCAUAGCUCAUUCGAUCAUGUGCAAUAUGCACAAACCCACCUUGCGCCAUGUUGUCUCCUUGCAUCGUGGAGAUUGCUCUCCUGUCUUCCUUCCUACCUUGAUCGUUCUUUUGAUGAUUAAAGAACUAAAGUCUCAUAUGUGUAUUUCUUUUCAUGGGUGUGAUGCUUUUGGUGUUCAGUUUAAGUACCUUCAUUCCUCAUAGGUACUGUCUAUUUAUACACCACACAAGUGCACCUGCAGGUCCAAAACGUCGGAGCUACACUGACGCAUGGCAUUUCAACUUCAAGUCAGUGGAGUCAUUAAUCAUCGUCAGGUCACUUAGAGUAAGCAACGCAUGCAUACCCCUUAAUGCAUGCAUCAUGGUGCUUUACCGAGGGAGUUUGCCAACGUAUGCAUGAGCUUUUAUCCUGGUACAGUGGUACAGGUCACACAUGCUCAUACAUUCGAUCUGCAUGUCCCUAGCAUUUGUAUAACACAAAGACCUUUAGAAUACGUGUGCUAGCAAAUGACCUUUGGGUCUAAUUAUAAUGCACAUACAAAAUUUGUUUAGAAGCACUGGUAGAGAAUUGGCCUUUAGUCCCGGUUGGUAGGGUGCAUAUCUCUCGGAUAUCCAUCCGGGAUAAACCAAUCGGGACAAAAGGGGGGUCUUUAGUCCCGGGUCUUUUAACCGGGAGUAAAGGACCCCCUUUAGUCCCGGUUGGUGACAGUCACCAACCGGGACUAAAGGGCCUGCCACGCCAGGCGCGGGACAGACCCUUUAGUCCCGGUUGGUGACACCAACCGGGACUAAAGGGGGUCCCUUUAGUCCCCGUUGGAUUUCCCAACCGGGACUAAAGGGGUCCCUUUAGUCCCGGCUCGAUUCCAACCGGGACUAAAUGACGCUUGCAUGGCACUGCCGUGACGCCUGAAUUUUUCAUGCAUGCAUCAUGUAUACUUAUAGUAGUACCGCGGCCCUUUUAAGUUGUUAACCUUGUAGUUGAGAUUUUUUUAGAACGAAAUCAACUAGUAUUUAAACGAAUGGGAUUUGUAAUUAUACAAUUACUAUAUAUAUACACAAUCCUUAUACACAAUUCAUAUACACAAUUCAACUAGCUUACUACAAAUCGAUCAUAAUUAGCGCGUAUUAUAUAUACAAAUAAAUCAAAGUAUCUUCCUACGAUCUUCCCGUCAUGGUGUUGCUGAUCGGAGUGUCUAAUUGUCGUCCAUUGUAAUAAAAUUCUCCUCUUGGAUUUACCACCUCGUCCAUUAUGAAUCCAAUGAGACCUUCACAUAUUGCCGCUACUCUUUCUUCCUUCAAGAGUCCUUGUUGAAUAUUUAACAUCUAUAAUUUGGAAAUUUGUGAAUGUUACAUGAACAAAUACAUAUAAGGAGCUAGAAAAUAAUUAACUAGUAAUAUAUUUAUUUUACGUACUUUAAAGUUGUGCGGCGUCAUCUUCGGUCCCUUGGGUCCCAAAAAACUGUGCAUGUGCUCACAGAUGUAGUAGCCACAUAGAUUAUUCCCGGGCUCCUGUCUUAAGCACUUCAGUGCGGAAAAAAAUAAGUUAUGAAAUAUUCGUGUUAUACAAUGUAAUAAAUGUGCAGACUUCGUACGUACUGGGAAGUCUGUGUUCCAUGUAAGAUUUUCUUUGAAUGGACCUUUGUGUGUCCUUAUGAAUUGUUUCCAUGCGCUGCGGAUUAGAAUAAUGAAUGACAUAGUGUAACAGGGAUAAAAUUUAGGAAAUAAAUUUUUGCAUAGAGAUAAAGGUCCAGAAUUAUUACAAGCCUAGCAUGUCUUGCAAUUCUUGGUAGUCCACCGGAUCUUUCCUUAACGAAUCAAAGACAGUGACGUGGCUUCUUUCAGGCUCAAUUAUAAUAAGGAUCCAGUGGAAGCUGCGUGCGUAAAAUGUUCAUGCAUAUUAGAGCUAACUAACAUGUAGAGAUAAGGAAAAAGACAUCGAAAGUAGACGUUAUACACACACUUACUUGAAGUUGUAUGGAAGUAGUAUGAAAUCCUUGAAUGUUUGUUUGUGUAGGAAAUUGUAUAUUUCCGCAAAGGUUUUUUCUGGCGCUAAUUGUAUCUGUUGUUGGUUAACUACAGAUGGAUCCAUGAAGCCUACAUGUAGGUACGCCUCUCGGCGGCAUGUCUGAAUUAGCAUCCUACAUGAAAUGGAAGAUGAAGUUAGUACGGUGACGCACGCCAAAAUUUACAUGUAGAGAUAAUAAACAGACACUUACAGAAUCCAAGCGCUGAUCAGAGAGACGUCCAGGGCAUCAUGAUGGUACACUUCGUAUAUAUCCUUGAAGUCUAGCCACAGCACUUUCUCCCCUUCACCGUGAAAAUCUAUCGGUUUUACCUUCAUGCCGAUCAUCUCCCUCGAGUUGGCGGAUGCCAUCAUGUACCAUUGAUGGAAUUCGUACAUCUUUGUUGAUAGCUUCCGUACCAUUGAAGGCUUUACUAGAGAUUUGCCUAGCUCAUAAGUCCACUUCGGCUCAGGGGGCGGUGCAGUUGGCGUCUCGACUUGCCCUAUGCAUUUAUCAAGUCCCAGACCUGUUCUUCCAUGAACUUCAAUAUAUUUUCUUGUUGAUCCAAGGGCAUUGCUUUUACCCGUUGAGCAUCUUUUUUUGAUAAAUGGCUGAGGUCGGGGACUGGACCGCUGGAGGAUGAUUUUCCUUUCCUUUUAUCCUUUUCAUCAGCCUUUACUAGAGCCCGUUCAUAGUUUGACAAGAGUGGUAUCCUUUUCUUGGCUCCUUCCUCCAUCCUGAUAAAAAAGUUUAAAUCUCGCCGACUUACUGGCGGUGGCUCCAUCUCCCUUGCCUUUUUUAAUUCGGCUUGUUUCUUGAACCACUCACUGGCCUCUCGUUGGAUUUCUGCCCACUGUUCUUCAUGAGACAUUGCCUCAAAGCGUUCCUUGCGAGCCACUUCAGGGUCGACCUUUGUUUUCUUCUUUCUCUGUCUUUGUUGCUUGGGAGGCGGUGCUCGUGACUUCUUGAGUGGUGCUGCAGGUUCCUUCGAGGGGGCCGCUCUUGGUGCCGGCGACGGUGAUCGGGGAGGGGUGUUGUUAUUGUCGUCGUCGCUCCCAGCACCAGGAUGUGGUGGAGAUGGAGACCUUGAUAUAGAUGGAAGAGACGGUCCUGGAGCAGGAGAUGCCGGUCUUGAGGUAUGAGGAGAAGGUCGCUGCUGGGGAUCUACGGGGAGCGAUCUUGAGGUCUGAGGAGAUGGCUCCGUGCGGGGAAUAAUGAUGUAGUGUUUCUUCCAUAGAAUGAUCCCAUGAAGCGCAUCUGCCAAUGUCUUUUCCCCGUCGCCUCCCGGGAAGUCGAGCUCUAGACCUUCAUACUGGGGAUCAACUAUUUGCUCGACGCAGACGCUGGCGUAGCCUGUUGGAAUGUCCAUGCCAUGACUGCUCUGCCCUGCCAGGGUUGGUAACGCACUCCCGUACGCUACCUGUACAUAUAGCAGAAGUAAACAAGUUGAACUCCGAUCUCGAGGCCUGGAUCAAUUGAUAAGAUUGCAUAAAUAUUAUGUAUAAGUAUACCUUAAUAGUGAGGUUGCCGACCGGUGCAUGCAGCUCACAUGAGGUCCGUUGCGUGAUGGCAUCCACGGGGAACCGUUGCUCCUCCACGGGUAACCUGGACGUCUGCGCAUCGGGGACCCCUGUAGAAGCACAACUGCUCCCGAGGCGUUGAGAAGGGCUGGCGGUGUGAGGAUUCGGCAUUGCUCCAGAUUGCGCCAACUCCGCAACUGCGUCGACCACACGCCGAUUGAUUUCAUCCAUCAUUCUUUGUUCUAGCAUCUGCCACCAGCUCUCCUCCAUCUGUUCCUUUCUUCGCUUCCGGCUUCUGUAAGAGGCGUUGUCGCCUCGGAAAGCGAACUUCCACGGGACCACCCCGAACCCCCGGCAACGUCCUGGGUGCUCUGGAUUACCGAGGGCCAAUGUGAGCUCAUCAUUUUCUCGGUCCACCCUCAACCUCCCAGCCUUGGAAUCUUCAAUGUUCUUCAUGAGAUGUUCGGCCUUCUCACGUAUUGUGUCAUUGAAAAUUAGCGUCCCAUCCUCUUGGCUUAGGGAGCCUCCAUGAGCGUAGUACCAGUUCUUUGAUCGUUCGGGCCAUUCAAUAGUUGCAGGUACGAUUCCCCAUUCGAUCAGAUCUUCUUCCAUCUUCCUCCACUUGGGAAUUGCUGAGCCAUACCCACCUCGCCCCAAAUGAUGGUGGUAGCCCUUCUAACUAGCAUUUGCUGUGUUGGUCGUGAUCUUUUUCACACCUUCUUCACUCCUCUUGUUUUCAACAAAUGCAUCCCAGUGGUCCCUCAACUUUGGCCAUGCGUUGAAGUCUGGAGUUUUGCCCUUCUUGAUGUAGUGGGUGUCCAGCAUCUUCUUGAAUGUCUGGAAUUGAGUAGCCAUCUUCUUAAGCGUCCACGCUUUGACAUCCUUCUCGCUAUAUCCUUCGGGGAAUGUGAAAUGUCUCUUCACGUCUUCCCACAGCAUAUUCUUUUCUGUCUCUGGAAGGGCGUACGGAUUAUCGCUUCUGCCCUUCCAUUCUCUGAUGCUGAUAGGCACGUUGUCCCGGACGAUUGCCCCGAUUUGACUCACGUACUUCUUUGCUACUUUCUCGGGAGCAACCGGCCUGCCCUCUUCUGUAACUUCGGUGAUGACAAGCCUCCCUUCCAUCACCUUUGUACGACCUCGGGUCUUCUGCCCUUGUGUCGAUCCGGAGGGCUAACAGUUCAAGAUUCAUUAAUUAGUACGUAGUAGUAGCGGUGGCGUGAAAUAAUACAAGAAUGGUUGUAUAUACCUCGCCGGAACCUUCCGCCACGGCAAGUUGUUGCUGCGGCUGUUGCUCUUCAUUCCCAUCGGCGGACAUGUUGAGGAACAUGUCCGCCUGGGUGCCCUCUUCAUCCGUGUAUGAUAGUGGAACGUUGUCGCCACUACCAUCACCAGCGAUUAUCUGCUCCAUGAUAUACCUUGCGGUCUCAUCGUCUGCCAUUUCAACUAUUGAUGGAAACAUACAUGGAAUCAUACAUGACAGUCAUAGAAAUCGUCUUAAUACAAAUUUGUACAAAGUCCUACAAAGUCCGGAAUCAUACAUGUAUAUAAUGAAAUCAUAAAAUAACACGAAUCGUACAAAGUCCGGAAUAUUUAUACAAAUUUCUAUGAAUUUUGACGAAUUUCUACAAAUUUCUAUGAAUUUCUAUGAAUUUCUAUGAAUUUCUAUGAAUUUCUAUGAAUUUCUAUGAAUUUCUACAAAUUUCUACGAAUUUCUACAAAUUUCUACGAAUUUCUACAAAUUUCUACGAAUUUCUACGAAUUUUGAUGAAUUUCUACGAAUUUCUACGAAUUUGUACGGAUUUCUAUGAAUUUCUACAAAUUUCUACGAAUUUUGACGAAUUUCUACGAAUUUGUAACAAUAUCCACAUGCGGUGCCUAGGUUGUGACGGCGGCGAUCAGGGCGGCGGAGGCGGGACGGCGGCGGUCAGGGCGGCGGUACGGCGGAGGCGGGGACGGUUCACCGGAACCACGGGCGGUGCCUACUAGGUUGUGAUGGGCGGCGGGACGGCGGCGAUCAUGGCGGCUACUCGGCGGCGAUCAUGGCGGCUACAAGGUGGCGAUCACGGCGGCUACUCGGCGGGACGGCGGCGAUCACGGCGGCGAUCCCGGCGGCUACUCGGCGAUCUCUGUCUAACUUAACAAACUAACUAGAAAUCUAAAAAUCUAACUUAACAAAAUUACAAAUCUAAAAAUCUAACUUAACAAAAUUACAAAUCUAUCUAAAAAUAAAACUUAAUUUUCUAAUUAACUUAAAAAGAAAACCCUCCCGGCGCGGCAGCGGACCUCUCGCGCGCGGGGCGGCGGCCGGGGCGGCGGGACGGCGGCGGCCGGGCGGCGCGCGGGACGGCGGCGGCCGGGCGGCGCGCGGGACGGCGGCGGCCGGGGCGGCGACGAGGACGAAGACGACGAUGGCGGGACGACGGCGGCCGAGGCGAAGACAACGACGGCGGCUACAAGGGACGGCGACGAGACAGCGACGAGGGGCGACGAGGAUGGAGCCGGCGACGAGGAUGUGGCUGGAGCCGGUGGUCGGAGGCGACGAGGUGGCCGGGGGCCGGGCGCGUCGACGGACGAGGAGGGGAUCGAGGAGGGCAGGCCGGGGGAUGACGACGGCGCAAUGGGGGACGACGACGGCGCAAUAGGGGAUGACGACGGCGGCGGCCGGCGAGGGAGGCGGACGGGCGGCGACGGCGGAGAACGCGCGGGACUUGCGAAAUUUUGGCUAAGUGUGUAACUGGCGGGGGGUAGAAGGGAGUACAGUGCCUUUUAACCCCCCCCCCUUUUAUCCCGGUUCGUAAUGGGACCCGGGACAAAAGAGCCUUUUGUCCCGGGUCCCGUUACCAACCGGGAUAAAAGGCCCCCCCCCCCUUUUAUCCCGGUUGGUGAUGGGACCCGGGAUAAAAGGGUGCGCUCCAAGCCCCACCUGGCGGGGCACCCUUUUAUCCCGGGUCCCGUCACCAACCGGGAUAAAAGGCCCCCCCCCUUUUAUCCCGGUUGGUGACGGGACCCGGGACAAUAGGGUGCCCCCGCCAGGUGGGGCUGGGAGCGUACCCUUUUGUCCCGGGUCCCGUCACCAACCGGGAUAAAAGGGGGGGGCCUUUUAUCCCGGUUGCAGUUGGCAACCGGGAUAAAAGGGUACGUUCGGACGGGAGACGAAACGUACCCUUUUAUCCCGGUUGCCGUUUGCAACCAGGAUAAAAGGGGGGCCUUUUGUCCCGGUUGCUGUUAGCACCCGGGAUAAAAGGUCUUUUUUUCUAUUUUUCUUCUCCCGCCUGUUUUUUGGAAAUGGAUUUUAUUUUACCUUUUCACUGCAUUUCAGGAUGAAAAACAAAACCUUCACAGAUUUUGUACAUGCAAAAAUAUAUUUAAUUAACGAGUAAAUUGACAAUAAGUAUGAAGUAAUCAUUAAUUCUAUACCAACUCAUGUAGCCUGUAAAAUAUUUAUUUUACUGCAUUGCUGUGAUCAAGAAAUUAUUCAUUUAAAUUAUUUGAAUGCGCAGAAAAAUCCAUGUUAGUAUGUGGUUAACAAUGUUCAUGUAUAUCUAAAAAAUCUUCACCUAACAAAUUUAAUAACACAUCAAAUCAUACAUAGGGUAAAUUACAAAUUGUAUCAAUUAAUACACAAAGGUCAUGUACAUUUAACGCAUUACAAUACAACGUUGUAAAAUUUCUUCUUCACGAAAGUUCCUUGAUCAUGAUCGCGGCGUAAGUACGGAGCCUCUUCUUUGGAUAGCAGGAUGCUUAGAUCAACUUCAACGGCGAAUGGAGGCAUGCCAUCAAACUGAUCAUAAUCAUCUGAUUGGUCUGUUUUAUCCUCGACUCCCACGAUUCUUCUUUUACCUGGAAGAACUAUGUGGCACUUUGGCUCCCAUGUCUCUUCUGGAUUCCUCUUGGGUUUGCUGCACAUGUCCUUCACAUAGAACACCUGAUGCACAUCAUUGGCAAGUACGAAUGGGUCAUCACUGUAUCCAGUCUUGCUCAGAUCUACUAUUGUCAUUCCGUACUGAUCUUUGGUGACGGCAGUUAGCUUCACCCAAUUGCAAAGAAAUAGAGGGAUGUACAGCGGUCCAUAUUCGAGUUCCCAUAUCUCCUGUAUGAAACCAUAAUACGACUCCUUGCUAUUAUUUCUGUCCAUGGCAUCUAUGCAAACACCACUAUUCUGGUUCGUGCUUUUCUGGUCCUGGGCUCUCGUGUAAAAUGUGUAACCAUUUAUCUCAUAGCCUUGGAAUUUGACGAUUGUGGUAGCAGGUCCCCUGGCUAACCAGGCAAGCUGUGGGUGAAUCUCAGAGUUACCCAUAAGUUGUUGGCGCAACCAGGAGGGAAAAGUUUCCAUGUGAUGACGGGUAAGCCAAGCAUCGGAUUUGGUCGGGUUUUUGGAAGCUACCAUCUGCCUGUGCUGCUCGAUAUACGGAGACACAAAGGAUGACUGUUGUAGAACAGUGUAGUGUGCCUUGUCGAACAAAUCAGUAUCAUUGCUCAAACUUGAUUUCCUUCCAAGGGUGCCCAUUCCUCGGAGCCUCCCCUCGUGGCGUGAAGUUGGAACCCCAAUCGAGUCAAUUGAAUCAAUAAAAUCAACACAAAACUCGAUCACCUCCUCUGUUCCAUAUCCCCUGGCGAUGCUUCCUUCUGGAUGGGCAUGAUUACGAACAUAGUUUUUUAGGACUGCCAUGAACCUCUCGAAAGGCCACAUAUUGUGCAGGUAUACAGGUCCGAGAAUACUAGGUGAACCAGUAAGUGUGUCAUAAUAUUGAAGAAGGAUGGUGGAAAUAACAACUCAAAACUGACAAGACAUUGCACCACAUCGUUCUGUAGCUUUGAUAGCUUGGAUGGAUCGAUUGCCUUCUGCGAAAUCACAUUGAGAAACGCGCAUAGCUUUACGAGCGGCAACCGGACAUUUUCUGGUAGAACACCCCUCAGUGCAACCGGAAGCAACUGGGUCAUCAACAUGUGGCAGUCAUGAGCCUUGAGAUUUGUAAACUUCUUUUGUUUCAUAUUUAUUAUUCCCUUUAUAUUCGAGGAGUACCCAGACGAGACCUUCAUACUAUUCAAGCAUUCAAACAUGCUAUCCUUCUCCUCCUUGCUGAGAGUGUAACUGGCAGGACGUAAGUAGUGCUGUCCAUUAUCUCUCUUUUUCGGAUGUAGGUCAUCUCGUUGCCCCAUGGCUUUCAGGUCCUGUCGUGCUUCCAAUGUAUCUUUUGAGGUUCCAUAAACACCCAUGAAGCCUAGCACGUUCACGCAAAGAUUCUUCGUCAGGUGCAUCACGUCUAUUGCGUUGCGAACCUCUAGGAUUUCCCAAUAAGGUAGCUCCCAAAAUAUUGACUUUUUCUUCCACAUGGGUGCAUGUCCGUUAUCGUCGUUCGGAACAGGUUGGCUACCAAGUCCCUUUCCGAAGACUACAUAUACAUCCUUCAUCAUCUCGAACACACGCUUUCCAUUACGGUGUGCAGGUUUUUUACGAUGGUCUGGCGUCCCUUUGAAAUGCAUCCCGCUCUUUCUCAGCUGGUGGUGAGCAGGGAGAAAUCGACGAUGACCCGUAUAGACGACCUUCUUACAGUGCUUCAAGUACAUGCUGUCUGUGUCGUCUAAACAGUGGGUGCACGCCCGAUAUCCCUUAUUUGUCUGUCCUGAAAGGUUACUCAAUGCAGGCCAAUCGUUGAUGGUUACGAACAACAGUGCUCGUAGAUUAAAGAUCUCUUGUCUAUCCUCAUCCCACACACGUACACCUUCUUCUUUCCAGAGCUGUAAAAGGUCAUCAACCAACGGCCUUAGGUACACGUCAAUGUCGUUGCCGGGUUGUUUUGGGCCUUGGAUAAGCGCCGGCAUCAUAAUGAACUUCCGCUUCAUGCACAGCCAAGGAGGAAGGUUGAACAUACAAAGGGUGACGGGCCAAGUACUAUGGCCACUACUCAACUCACCGAAUGGAUUGAAUCCAUCAGUGCUUAAACCAAACCUUAUGUUCCUUGCGUCACUUUCAAAGUCUGGGAAUGUUCUAUCAAUUGAUCUCCACUGUGCCCCAUCUGCGGGGUGUCUCAGCAUCUCAUCUUCCUUACGGUCUUCUUUGUGCCAUUGCAUCAACUUAGCAUUCGCCUUGUUCCUGAACAAGCGCUUCAAGCGUGGUAUUAUAGGGAAAUACCACAUCACCUUCGCGGGAACUCUCUUCUUGGGAGACUGCCCCUCGACAUCACCAGGAUCAUCUCGCCUGAUCUUAUACCGCAGGGCUUCGCAGACGGGACAAGCAUCCAAUUUCUCGUAUUCAUCACCACGAUAGAGGAUACAGUCAUUAGGGCAUGCGUGUAUCUUCUGAACAUCCAAUCCGAGAGGGCAAAUAAUCUGUUUAGCUUCAUAUGUUGUGGACGGUAAUUCAUUAUUCUCGGGGAGAAUCUUCUUGACAAUGUUCAACAUCCCCUGAAAUGCCUUAUCGGACACACCAUUUUUUGCCUUCCAUUGCACAAAUUCUAGUGUCGUACCUAGUUUUUUAUGGCCCUGCUCGCAACCUGGGUACAACAAUUUUUGGUGAUCAUCUAUCAUGCGCUGCAACUUUGCUGCUUCCUUCUCAGUUUCGCAAUCUCUGUAUGCAUCUCGUAUCACCUGACCAAGGUCAUCAGUAGGGUCAUUUUCUGCAAACCCAUCUUCAUCAGCCUCGCCCAUUGUAGUACCUGCAAAAGCUUGGCCUGCAACCCAGUCCGGAAUGGUGUCAUCUUCCUCCUCCUCCUCGCCAUCUUCCAUUACAACCCCUAGUUCACCGUGCUUGGUCCAAACCAAAUAGUUAGGCAUGAAACCGUAUUUAAACAAGUGGCUGUGAAUAGUCCCCCAGGAAUCCUUUGAAUACUCCUUCCUGUUAUUGCAUUGGAUGCAUGGACAACAUACGAACCCAUUCUCUGGCUUGUUCGCUUUUGCCACUUCAAGAAAAUAAUGCAAGCCAUCAAUAAACGCCUUGCUCCGCCUGUCUGCAUUAUACAUCCAUUGCCGGUCCAUCUGCAUCGUAUUACGCAUGAAAAUGGAUUACACUUGACAAUGGAUUACGCGUGAAAAUCGAUUAAAGAUCCAAACAACAUGGUACAAUACAACAACAUGAAGAUCCAAAUACACAUAUUUAAAUUAAAGUCCCAAACAACAUUAUACAAUACAACAAGCCAUCCACUGGUUAUUAUCAAGGAGGAUUUAAAGCAUCCUUGGACGGUGAAGACGAAGGUUCCGCUGACCCAACCUCAUCCUUAGGUUUAUUUGUGCCGCCUGAAACGGUAGUACUAAGUGGACGUGAAACACCCGGGACUGAGGGUGGAGCAUAACGACCACCAAAAGGAGGUUCCUGACCCGCGGCAACAGCUUCUUCAUGACGUUGCUGCAAAUAACGAAGCAUUGCUUUUUCCAGCGCGCUCUUUUUCUUCGGCUUAUGCUGAGGGCCAACUAUGAUUGGAACCUUGCCAUAAUAGGAACCACGAUCGCCCCCACCAUCGCCACUUCCUCCAGUAGCAGAAGCCAUCUAUGUACAAAAAUUAUUAUCUUAACACUGCAUAAGUUGUUCAACUUGAAGACCGUGAUCAUCUCGCGAGGAUGUCCUCAACUGGACGGCACCGCACUUCGUCAUUAAAGAGGUUAGAUGCUACGGAAAAGGGGACACGGUCACGAUGUCCGUAUUCACUCUUUCUCGUAGAAUCGAACCUCCCUCUUGACAUACGUUGCUGCUCGGCGGAGAACAUCCUCGGCGAGAUGAACAUGGUAUGCAAGUUCAACAAGUAGCAGAAGUCAUCUAUGUACAAAAAUUCUUUCCUUACCACUACAGAAGUUGUUGAACUUGAAGACCGUGUUCAUUUCGCGAGGAUGUCCUCAGCUGGGCGGCACCGCACUUCGUCAUGAAAGAGGUUAGAUGCUACGGAAAAGGGGACACGGUCACGAUGUCCGUAUCCACUCUUUCUCGUAGAAUCGAACCUCCUCCUUGACAUACGUUGCUACUCGGCGGAGAACAUCGUCGCAGAAAUGAACACGGUAUGCAAGUUCAACAAGUAUAUGGAUUUAAAAAACCAUAUUGAAUUUGAUAAGAUAAACCGUCUAGACAAGGUAUAGCAUCAUUUUUAAACCACUGAAAUAAUGCAUACUAUAUAUGACACAUCAAUCUCCCUCACAUUCUAGCUCAAAAUACCUCUCCAUUUUUCUACUUCAUCAUCACAUUGUAGCAAAUAAUCUUUCCAUCUCCAAAGCAUAAAUCAAAGCAUAACACAAGGAUGAAGUAGCAAACCUUCGCAACACUUGUUGGCUGAGUCAAAUUCCCACGAAAAUGAGGGAAAAAACUUCGGGCAGCACCUCCCUUGCUUGGGCACCACCGGAGAGUAGGUGAAGCUCAGCUCUCUAUCAAUGUGCUGGACUGGCUCGGGCUGGAGGAAGAAGAAAGUCUCUGUCUCGGGAUAUAGUGGGGGAUGAGUUUUUAUCCCGGUUAAAAACUCCAACCGAGACAAAAGGAAACACCUUUUGUCCCGGUUGGAAGUUUAUCCCGGUUGGAGGAUCCAACCGGGAUAAAAGGGUAUCCCGGUUGGAGGAACCAACCGGGACUAACCCUUUUAUCCCGGUUGGUGCCUCCAACCGGGAUAAAAGGGUCCCGCCACCGACGCCCCCCAGCUAGCCGUUGCAACCGGGACUAAAGGGGGGCCUUUAGUCCCGGUUGCAAUUACCAACCGGGACUAAUUCUCCCCUCCAAAUUUCCGCACCCCGGCGCACCCCCUUUUGUCCCGGGCCAACUUUAAACCGGGAUAAAAGGGGGCGGAUCGAAAGUCAGUUCUCUACUAGUGAAGGGAGAGGAGAGGGUUUUCGAACCCCAUAAUUCUCAUACCUUUAGUCUGGCAAUCAUCACACAUAGACCUUUUAACAUAAGAAUUAUUUCUUUAUUUACAUGGGCCACAUUUCAGUAAAUAUAAUUUAACAUU
rnacentral:lncRNA from 1 species